rnacentral:lncRNA from 1 species
ACAUGGGCUGGGCCAGAUUCCAACUUAAAAGUAAUGAAAAAACUGCCCCAUCACCCAACGCACUCACCACCUAAUAAUAAUAAUCAUUACAACAACACGUUACACUUACAACAACAUCCUUUACAUACAAAAAGGGAAAUAGUUAAAACAAGAUAAUGAUCGAAUUUCAAAUUAAAAAUAAAAACCCACAAAGUUGGUUUGGUUUAAUGGUUUUGGCAUCAACUAUCACAAACCGUUGGAUCAUAUCAACUUGACUUGAAAGGAAUGGCUCUGAUAACAACUGUGUGGUAAAGUGCUGCAAGUGCUGCACCAAUGAAUGGUCCAACCCAGAAAAUCCACUGCACAUAAAAAAAAGUAAACAAGAUUAAACAUAAAUUUCAAGAUUAACUAAUUAAUUAAAUUAAAUUAAAUUAAAUUAACACAUACUUGAUCAUCCCAACCAAGAUCUUUGUUGAAGAUAAUUGCAGCACCAAGACUCCUAGCAGGGUUGAUACCAGUUCCAGUAAUUGGAAUAGUAGCCAAGUGAACCAAAAACACAGCGAACCCAAUUGGCAAAGGUGCCAAAAUCUGUUAAUUCAUUUCAUCAACACACCAUUAAGAAACAUUAAACUAAAAUUAACACAUGUAAUUAAUUCAAUGAGACACAGGUACAAGGCAAAGCACAUACAGGAACGUGAGAGUCUCUGGCACUACGUUUGGCAUCAGUGGCUGAGAAAACGGUGUAGACAAGAACAAAGGUACCGAUAAUCUCAGCACCGAGUCCAUCUCCUUUUGUGUAACCAGGAGCAACAAAGUUAGCACCACCGUGAACUUUUCCGUAGAAGGCUUUUCCUUCGAAACCCUUAACCACACCAGCACCGCAGAUAGCACCAAGAACCUGCAUCACGAUGUAGAACACUGCUCUUGUUAGAGACAGCUUCCUCGCCAAGAACAAACCGAAUGUCACUGCUGGGUUUAUGUGACCCCCUGCAUCCACAACAUCACAAAUUAAUACCAUAAAAAACAUAACAACUAUGUAAGAUCCAGUACUACAGGACAAAAUCAGGAAAAACAAACUGAAGAGAGUGUAUACCAGAGAUUCCGGCAGUGCAGUAAACGAGGGCGAAGAUCAUGCCACCAAAAGACCAAGCAAUCCCUUGAAUACCAACAGUUUUACACUUGGAAUCAGAUUUGUUGACACCCAUGAUAGUCAAGAUGGUGAUGUAGAGAAACAGAAAAGUUGCAACGAACUCGGCUAUUCCAGCUCUCCAGAAAGACCAUGAAGUGAGUUCAGAAGGCUCAAACAACGGUGCAGGAGGUGGUUCUUUGUAGUCCUUACCGUCGUCAUGGCUCUGAGCUGCAAUACCGAUGGGUUGUCUCUCUGGGAAUUUGUUGGCUCCCAGUGAAACAUCUUGUUCCUUUGCUUCCAUUUCUCACUCUCUUGUUGAUGAAUGAAUAAUUGCUAUGAAUGAAUUGGAAGUGGUUGUUGUUGUGGUUGUGAUAGGGUUAUUAAGAUGUGAUUUAUAAACAGAGUGAAUUAUAAUGAAGGACAAAAAAGAAGUGGGUCAUGGGUGGUGGGUGGUGGGUCCAUUUCAUAUGUAAAAAAUUUGAAUAUUAUAGAAUUUGAUUUUCUUAUCUUUUUUGCCGUCCAAUCAUAUUCAUGACAGCAACAUAGAGUGGUAUAUCCAAGCUGGAGUGGUUUCUAACCAUGCAAUAAUUGGGCCCCACCAUGUUCUAUGCAGCACGAGAAAAAUCAAAAUAAUUGAAAGUGGAAAAUACGGGGUGAAGGUGAAGUAUUGAAAGAGGAGUAAAAAUUCAAAAUAAUCGAGUGAGUUCUGUCGACAUGGACAUCAUGUCAUGGUUGGUCCCAUUUCAGCAGCGAGACUGAGGAGUGGGAAACUCCAUUACCCUCUGGGCGGUCAUAAUUGUCGUCAGAAUAAUAUAAUGUACCGAAAGUAUCACGUUUUAUUACUCGAGAGUACUAUGUGUUCUGUUCAAGUAGAACCAAGCCGCAACGACUCUUAUGCCAUCAAUGCUGUGUCAAUCUCACUAUUAAAAUUUUGGGAAGUAUUAAUGCAUCAUUAAAAUAUCAACUAAAUUAUCUAAGUUUAGUUAAUGUCUCCAAUAUUUAAAACUACUAUCAAUUUUUAUAACUAAUCUAUAACUAUAUACAAUUUUAAUAACGUCUCCAAUAUUAUUAAAAUUAAUUUUCUAAUCAGAUUCACUUUUUUUUUCAAUUUUAAUUACUAAUAUAUAUAUAUAUAUAUAUAUAUAAAUAUAUAUAAUAUAUAUAUAUAUAUAUAAUAAUAAUAUAUAUAUAUAAUAAUAUAUAAAUAAAAUAUAAAUAAUUAUUGAAAUUAAUUGUUAUAGUUGAUAUUUAUAAAUAGAGUUAAAUAUGUUUUAGGUCCUCUUAAUAGCUCAUAUGUUAUUUUUAGUUUUAAAAAAAAAAAUCAUUAAUGAAUGAUCCUCUUAAAAUUCUUGAUUCACAUUUUUGGUUCCUCUUGCAAGUUAUUGAUGGAAUUUUCAACUUAACGACCGAAUUAUCGACGUUUUUAGCGAUUGAAUUAGCGACAGUUUUAGGCAGAGGGACCAAAAGUGGAUGAAAAUUUUUAUGAUGAGCAUUCUUUGAAAUAAAUUUUUUGAGGGACUAAAAGUAAAAUACGAGAUAUUUAGGAGGACCACAAACAUAUUUAACUCUUAUAAAUAUAGUGUUAAGAAUAUUUGUAUAUAGAAUAGUCUCACAUCAACUAUAUCAUGUAAUUAGUUGUAAUCUCUCUAUAUAUAUAAUAUAGGUUUUGUAUUGUUUUUCAAAACACAAUUUAUUCAAAUGUAUCUUAGUCUUUUGUACUUCAACAUGGUAUCUAGAGCCUACUCUGAGACAAUAUUUCACCGUGCUUUAUUUGGUUGACGCAUUGUCUUCCGGUGAGAAAUUGUUGGAAAAUUGUGUCAUAUCUCCAGGUUUUUCUUCCAUACACUACCGUGACUCAUUCCGACAUCAGUUUCCAAAAAUCUCCGGUCAUGAUCGUAUUGUCACCGUUGUUUGUCGCUGCAGCUACAGUUCUCGGUGACCUUUUGGAAAACUAACCUUAUCGGCAGAAAUGCCUCUUCCGAUCCGGUUGUUCCCCACUAUUUUAGUGGCAUAAACCUCCAUAUGCGCCCAUGCAUGCCACCUUCAUCCCCGCGUGUGGGUCUCACGUGAUAUUUUCUCUCUAUUCAUAUACGCAUGGCUACUUCUUAGAACUUUACGCCAAACUACGAUGUUCCUUAAGUGGUAGCAGAAUUAUCAAAACUCAUAUUCUACUGCUUCGGUAGCACACACUAGUAACUCAUUUGUUUGCCUAUCUCAAUCAUCUUUUCUUAGACCUUGUGUCCUUGAUUCUGGUGUGUUUGAUCAUGUUACCGGUAAUACAAAUAUUUUAUCUUCCUUCUCUACCUCUGAUUUCUUACCUACUAUAACUUUUGCCAAUAAUUCUCAAACUCAAUUUGAACGGAUUGGUACUGUUAAAAGACUACCUUCUCUCUCGGUUACUUUUUUUCUUUAUGUACCUAAUUGCCCAUUUAAUCUACUUUUAAUCAGUAGCUUAACUCGUUCUCUUGAUUGUAGUUUCACAUUCACUAACAAUAAUGUUACCCUACAAGAUUGGAGUUCGGGACUAACGAUUAGCGUCAGAUGUGAGUCUCAAGGCCUUUAUUACCUCUCUGUGUCAUCUCAGACAUGCUCAACCAAAGAUUCUUCACUCAUUAUCCAUGCUCAGUUAGGCCAUCUCAGUCUUUCCAAACUACAUAAGUUGGUGUCAAAUUUAUCGAAGGUAUCUAAUUUACAUUGUGACUCGUGUUAGUUAGGGAAACACAUUCGUAGUCAAUUUUCAAAUUGAGACAAUAAAUGAGUUUUGUCCCCUUUUUCUUAAGUUCACACUGAUGUUUAGGGACCCUCGCAUAUUGUAUCUACUCUUGAGUCUAGGUAUUUUAUCACCUUUAUUGAUCAUUUUCACGUUGCACGUGGUUAUUUUUAAUGAAGAAUAUAUCUGAACUAUUUUCUAUUUUUGAACAAUUUUAUCGAGAAAUAAGAACUCAAUUCGGUGUGUUUAUCCGUACUUUAAGAAGUGACAAUGCCAAUGUGCUUUUCUUGGUUAUCAUUGAUCCAAAAAAGGUUAUUGUUGUUAUUCAUAUACUUUACAACGAUACUUCAUAUCAGACGAUGUUACCUUCUUCGAGUAUGUUCCAUAUUUUGAGUUUAGCCACGUAACUCCGAAACCCCUUCAUGAAAGUACUCUUACACCUUUUUUGGCAGUUAUUAAUGUUUUGUCUACCAUUUCUCGACCCCCUUACACAUACACACACUUCUCGACCACUUCAAACAUAUCAAAGUCAUCACCCAAUGUUUGUCGUUCCUGUCCCUGAGGUCAUACCUAUCCAUAAGGUCAUAUGUGUCCUUGAGGUCAUUGCAAACUCUCCUCCGACACCCCUGACAUCACCGGAUCUGAUCUUGUAACCUGAGUUCGAUCUUCCAAUUCCCCUUCGAAGAGGUGUAUGUCAAACAUGAAAUCCUUAUCCAUAUUAUAUUGAUUUAUGUUAUCGUCGUCUUUCCCUUUUGCAUUAUACUUACUUGUCUUCUUUGUCUUCUGUUUCUAUUCCUAAAACUCCAAGUGAAGCGUUAUCUCACCCUAAGUGGAGGCAAGCAGUGAUUGAUAAGAUGUGUGCUCUUCAAAGUAGUGGUAUCUGGGAAUUGGUUCUUCUUCCCCCUAGGAAAUCUUUGGUAGGUUGUCACUAGCUUUAUACAAUGAAGGUUGGUUCAGAUGGUAAGAUUGAUCGAUUAAAAGCUUGCUUAGUAGCCAAUGGAUACGCUCAGAUUUUUGGGUUGGAUAUAGGGGUACUUUCUCGCCUGUGGCCGAGAUGGCAUCAAUUAUACUUCUUCUCGCCAUUGCAGCCAUUCAACAUUGGCCUUUUCACCAACUUGACAUCAAAAUUUUAUUUUUACAUGGUGAUCUUUAAGAGGAAGUAUAUAUGGAGCAAACACAUGGGUUUUUUGCUCAGGGGGAGUCAUCGAGUACGGUUUGUAGGCUACACGGGUCUCUUUAUGGUAUUAAUCAAUCUCCUAGAGCUUGGUUUGGCAGAUUCAACACUGUAGUAUAACAAUUGGGUAUGGUCCAUAGUGAAGUUGGACAUUCUGUGUUUUAUCGACACUCAACCCAAGGGUGUAUUUAUCUUAUUGUGUAUGUAGAUGAUAUUGUUAUAACUGGUAGUUAUCAUCAGGGAAUACUUCUGUUGAAACAAUAUCUCUCUAAUCAAUUUCAAACAAAAGACCUAGGUAAACUCCAUUAUUUUUGGGUAUUGAGGUAGCUCAAUAAAGAUGGUUUAGUGAUUUCUUAGCGGAAAUAUGCUAUGGAUAUUUUGGAAGAAACAUUUUUGUUGAGCGCUAAACCAAUUGAUACUCAUAUGGAUCCAAGUAUUAAACUCAUAUCCAAUCAGGGGGAGCCUCUACCUGACUCAAGAAGGUAUAGGAGGUUGGUUGGAAAAUUGAAUUAUCUCACAGUCACUCGUCCGAACAUUUCUUUUGAAGUUAGUGGUAAGCCAGUUCUUAAAUUCUCCUUGCCAAGAACACAUGGAUGUUGUUGUCCGAAGUCUGAGAUAAAUCAAAUUUGCUCCAGGAAAAGGCCUCGUGUAUCAUGAUAAAGGACAUACUCAGAUAGUUGGAUACUCCGAUGCUGAUUGGGCAGGGUCACCCAUUGAUAGACGGUCCACCUCUGGGUAUUGUGUACUUGUUGAAGGAAACCUUAUAUCUUGGAAAAGUAAGAAACAAAAUAUAGUUGCAAGAUCAAACGUCGAGGAAGAGAUUAGGGUCAUGGCAAUGGCAACAUAUGAACUCAUUUGGUUAAAAUAGUUGCUCAAAGAACUUCAAAUUGAAGAAGAAAGACCAAUGACACUUGUUUGUGAUAAUCAAGUUGCAUUACACAUUGCUUCAAAUCCAAUCUCCCAUGAGAGGACCAAACAUAUUGGGAUAUAUUGUCAUUUUGUCAGAGAGAAGAUUGAAUCAGGCGACAUCGUCACAAGCUUUGUCAACUCUAAUGAUCAAUUGGCAGAUGUGUUUACAAAAUCCUUGUGAAGUCCCAAAACUAAUUAUAUAGGUGACAAACUUGGUGCAUUUGACUUAUAUGCUGAAGCUUGAGGCAGAGUGUUGACAUUUAUAAAUAUAGUGUUAAAAAUAUUUGUAUACAAAAUAGUCUCACAUCGACUAUAUUAUGUAAUUAAUUGUAAUCUCUAUAUAUAUAAUAUAGUCUCUAUAGUACUUUUUAAAACACACAGUUAACUCAAAUAUCUAAUAUAGUCUCUUGUACUUCAAUAGUUAUAAUCAAAUUUCAUUUUUUUUAAAAACUGUUAUAAAUUAAUUAUUAAUCAAUUAUAUUCAUAACCGGUUCUAUAAUUAGUUUUAAUUUAAAAUAAAAAUAUAUUUUUUUUAAUUUUUAAAAUUUUAUUAUUAUUGUUUUCAAAAACAAAAAAUCCUUUUAAUUAAAAAAUAUUUUUUUCGGAUUAAAAAAAAUAUUUGUUUUUUAUGUUUUUUAAAAAAUAACUUUUUUUGUUUAUUUUUUCUUAAGAAAAUCAUGUUUUUUGUUUGUUUAGUUUCAGAAAGAUAUUUCCAAAAAAAUAUAUAUAAUUUUUUUUAUCUUCAAAUUUUUUAUUAUUUUCAAAAAAAAAAUCUAAAAAAGUUUUUAUAAGGAUAUUUUUUUGUGAUUUUUAAAAAAUAGAGUAAUUUGAUUUUUAUUUUGGAUAUAGAUGUCGAAAAUAUGAGUUUGGAUAAAAUCAUAUUAAUAACAUAUCUAAAAUACGAAUUUCAUUAAAAUCAAAUUAAUAAUUAAUUGGUUUUUAAUUAAAAAAAAAUAGAUAUGGAUAUGAAUAAUUCAAAUAAACGAUUAAUUUGAUCAACCCUAAUUUUAGUAAUUAUAUAAAGAUUUUUAACACCCACAAUCCAUACCUUUCAAUUGAGAUGACAUUGUCACAUUGUUUUUACAAACCAAAACACAAAUUAAAACAAAUUUCUCUCUCAUAAGUCAGACUUCAUUGCAAGGAGGAAAAAAAUAUUUUACUCUCAGUGCAAAAUGUGUGCACGUCUCUAUUGUUCUAAUGUUUUUUUUUUCAAAAUCUUUGUUGUUUCAAAAAAACUCAUUUCUAGUUUAACAUCUUUGUUCUUCUAAUGUGUGUGUUUUAAAGUUUUUGUUGUUUCACAUUUUUUCAUGAAUUGUUUAAUAUAUGUUUAGUUCUAAUUUGUUUGUUUCAAUAUCAAAGUUAUUUAACAGUUUUUUCUCUUAGUGCAGAAUGUAUGCACAUCUAUGUUGUUCUAAUGUGUUUGUUUCGAAAUCUUUGUUGCUUAAAAAAAAUCAUUUAUGAUUUAUCAUUUUGUUCUUUUAAUAUGUGUGUUUUAAAAUAUCUGUUGCUUCACAUUUUUUUCAUGAAUAGUUUAAUAUAUAUGUUGUUCUAAUUUAUUUGUUUCAAUAUCAUAGUUGUUUAACAAUUUUUUUUCUGAGUGUAAAAUGUAUAUGCACACUAUGUUCUUCUAAUGUGUGUUUCAAAAUCUUUUUUGCUUCACAUUUUUCAUGAAUAGUUUAACAUCUGUGUUAUUCUAAUUUGUUUGUUUCAAUAUCAUAGUUGUUUAACAGUUUAAUCUCAUGUUUAAGGUUUAAGAUUUUAACCUUUGCGAUAGAACCAAUCCUUCCACUAUAAAUUUUCAAUCGAAAGUUCUUAAAAAUGUUUGUCAUAAUUCAAAACAGUUUUCGUUAUAAUGGAUGUUUCAUUAUUACUAAAAUAUGUGUUUUUGAUAUCAUUUGUGUGCCUUAACAACUUUUAAUAUAGGUUUUUUUUUCUUCGGAAGUAAGAUGUGUGCAGAGUUUUUUUUUCCGAUUGAUAAUUUUUUUGGAUGAUAGUGAUGUAUUUUUCUUAUAUAACAUGUGUUACUUAACAACUUCUAAUAUAGAUUUUUUUAUAUUAAAUGUAUGCUAAUAAAUUUUAUGUUAUUAGCUUUAUGAUUAAUGGUUCAUUUAGAGUAAGAUGUGUGAACAUGUGUGCUCCUGAUAUAAUAUUUUUGAUAUAAAUUAUUUUUUCAAAUUUUUUUUAAUAUCAUGCUUUCUGAUCAAGAUGAAAUCAAAUAUUAUUUAUGUUGCAUGCUUCUCUUGGGUAUCGGAAUAACAUGAAAUAAUAAUAACACAGCUAAAAUUUGAGUGAAAAGUAUAGGAAUGAGAAGAAACACAAUUAAUUCUAACUCUUGGAUGAUUAUAAACUACAAUAUAAUGUCUCUAUUUAUAAGAGUCUUAUGUACUAUAAUAAAUGAAUACAUAUUUAGUGAAUUUUACGUAAUCUUCUCUUCAUCAUAGAAACCAAUGAUUUCUGUUGCAUUGACUUUUUCCUUUCUACAAAACAUAGAUGACUUUAUGUCCUCAAAAUCUCCCACUUAAAGUCAUUUUGUUUGCUUUCAAAAUUUCUCUCUCUUGCUAAUUCCAUGUUGCUACGUUUUAGAUAGGCCAUAAGAAGACUUGCACCAAUAAAACUUGUCAGUGUUGAUCGGCUUUGCCAUAGCAUCAGCUAGGUUGUCUUUAGUGUGAAUCUUUUGCGUGUCCACACUCCCUUCCUCUACUACUUCAUGAACAAAAUGGUAUUGAACUCAUAUGUGCUUUGUCUUGGAAUGAAAAGUUGGAUUUCUUGCAAUGUGCAAGACACUUUGACUGUCACAAUACACAAUAAUUUUUGGUUAUUUAUGUUUGAGCUCUUCCAAUAACCUUUGCAUCCAUAUAGCUUCCUUGCAUGCUUUGGUAGCUGCAAUAUAUUCAGCUUCUGUAGUAGAUAGAGCUACAAUAGUCUGUAAUUUGGAUAACCGGCUUACAACUCCUCCCGCAAUUGUAAACACAUAGCCAGUAGUAGAUUUUAUUUUGUCAAGAUCACCUGCAUAAUUUGAAUCAACAUAUCCUUUGGCACCAAACUCCAAUCCUCCAAAACAUAAUGCAACAUUCGGGGUUCCUUUUAUAUAUCUCUGGAUUUUUUUAACAGCAUCCCAAUGCUUUUUACUAGGAUCCGCCAUAAAUCGACUGACCGCUCCCACUUCUUGUGCAAUGUCUGGCUUUGUACAUAUCAUGGCAUAUAUAAGGCUUCCCACCGUUGAUGCAUAGGGUACUCGAGACAUUUCCAUCCUCUCUGCUUCAUUGCUAGGAUUUAUACUUGAGGAUAAUUUAUAAUUGAUAGGGAGUGGGGUAAAUAUUGGCUUACAGUCUUGCAUGUUGAAGCCCCGUAAAACUUUUCGUAGAUAAUUUCUUUGAGAAAGCCAAAUCUUUCUAUCUUUUCUAUCUCGGUGAAUUUGCAUCCCUAAAAUCUUGUUUGUUGCCCCCAAGUCUUUCAUAUCAAACUCCCUAGCCAAGUAUGCCUUAAAUUCUUGGACUUGAUAUUUAUUGGGGCCAACAACCAACAUGUCAUCCACAUACAACAACAAAAAUGGUGAAAACAUUUUCCUCAAACCUCUUGUAAUAUGUACAAUAAUCUGAGCUCAACAUGUUAUAUCCAAGGCUAAUAAUGAAGGAAUCAAAUCUCUUGUACCAAUACCUUGGCGCAUGCUUUAUACCGUAUAGAGAUUUGGUCAACCUGCAAACCAAGUUUUAUUUUCCUUUUUCUUCAAAACCUUCUAGUUGGAGCAUAUAUAUUUCUUUUUCAAGUUCUCUAUGAAGAAAAGCAGUCUUUACAUCCAAUUGUUCAAGAUGUAAAUCAUAAGUAACACACAUAACUAACACUACUCUAAUAAUGGUAAGUCUAACCACCAGAGAAAAUAUUUCAUUGAAGUAAAUUCCUUCCUUUUGUGCAUAUCCUUUAACCACCAGUCUUGCACGAUAUCUUUCCACUUGGUCAUUAACAUCACGUUUAAUCUUAUAGACCCAUUUCUUGCCGCUGGCUUUCCGACCCUCUAGAAGUACAACAAGAUCCCAUGUCUUAUUUUUAUGUAAGGCUUCCAUUUCUUCUUGCAUUGCUGCCAUCCACAAAGAAUCAUUUGAGGAACUCGUAGCCUCUUGAAAGGUUGAUGGUUCUCUAUCUCUUGUUAGAAGACAAUAUGCAUCAUGGCUUGCCAUAACAUAGUCUUAUUGCCAAUUUAGUUUCCCUUUUUGAUGUGUUAAUCGUCGAAAUUCAACACCAUAGGGUUCUUAUGGUUCUUGUACCUCGUGCUCUGGUUCCGCUUCAAAAGAAUCAUCUUCUACAGACUUUCCAUCUAUAUGAACAAUAUUGAUAUCUUUAGCAGUGCUGUCAUUUUCCUGCUCCCUUUGAAGUUCAUUCUCUGCAAAGAUUACAUCCCUGGUGACAAUAACCUUGCGGGAAGUGGGAUCCCACAAGCGAUACCCCUUGUCACUGUUAGCAUAGCCCAAGAAUAUGCAUUUCCUGGAUUUUGGAUCCAGCUUAGUUCUUUCUUGGGAGUUAUACAUCACAUACACAUGACAUCCAACCACAUGUAGAAUAUAAUAAUCAGUUAGCUUUCCUUUCCACAUCUCAAUCAGAGUCUUUAAACCAAUUGGACUUGAUGGUGAUCUAUUUAUCACGCAACAAGCAGUUUUCACGACUUCUACCCAGAACGACUUGGCUAAUCCUAUAGUUCACAACAUAGCUCUAGUACUUUCUAGGAGAGUCCUUUUCACCCGCUCUGCUACACCAUUCUACUAAGGUGUAUGGGCAAAUGUAAAUUGUCUCACUAUACCCUCUUCCUUGCAGAACGCCAAAAACUCAUUGUCUGUAUAUUCUCCUCCAUUGUCGGUCUUCAAGAACUUAAUUUUCUUUCCAACUUCAAGCUUAAUUAGUGCUUUGAAAUGCUUAAAUAUUGAAAACACAUAUGACUUCUUCUUGAUUAGGUAUACCCAUAAUCUUCUGGAGUAAUCAUCAAUGAAUGAUCUAAAAUAUUUUGCUCCUCCCGGUGACAUUUGCGGUGACUCCCACACAUCAGAAUGAAUCAAGUCAAGUAUGUGUUUCCUCUUCGUGGUUGAUCUAUCAAACAUCAACCUAUGUUGUUUGCUUAUCACACAGUGCUCACAAAAAGGUAAACUUACCUAUUUGAGCCUGGGUAAGAAAUCACAUUCCACAAGAACAUUUAAGCCUCGUUCUGACAUAUGGCCCAUUAUGCGAUGCCACGUUGUUGUUGAGUUUUCUUGACUAGUUGAUGCAACUGACACAUCACCCUAUUAUAAUGUCUCUCCCAUAAGAAUGUAUAUAUUUGAAGAUAACUUCUCUACCUAAGUAACUACUAGAGCAUCUCUCACCACCUUCAAGAUCCCACCUUCAAUAUGGGUCUUGUACCUGAGGUUAUCUAAUUCUCCAAUAGACAAUAAAUUCUUCUUUAACCCUUUCAUAUGUUGUACCUCUUGAAUUAUGCAAACUGUACCAUCAUACAUUUUUAUUUUGGCAGUACCUACACAACCAAUUUCUAGGCAUAAUCAUUUCCCAUGAACACUAAUCCUUCUGAGAUAGGUUGAUGAGUGUAAAACCAAUCUCGUCAAGGAGUCAUGUGUCAUGUUGCUCCUGAAUCAAUUAUCCAAACAUCAGUGAGUUAUUUACUUCCUUUGGAACCAGUUGUUUCUCCGCUAUAUAGAAUCUCUCCAUCAUCAUAGGUAUUGGAAACACAUCCUUGAGAUGAACUUGCCUCAAAAGACUUCUCACCAUUCUUCUUAAACCAACAAACCCUUUUCAAGUGACCUUUCUUGCCACAAUUGUAGCAUUUCAGGUUUAUCUUACUUCGAUACUUUGAUCUACCAUGAUUUUGUCUCCCACUAGGGCCACGUUCCAUUGAUCUUCCUCUCGUCAUUGUCAAAGCUUCUACUUGUUUUGAGCUUUCUUCACGGUCUUCCUUAUUUAUACAUCAAAACUCUUCCUCAAGAAUGGCUCCGACAACAUCAUCAAAAUAUAGACGGCUUAUAACUUUAUUAUUUGUUAAGUUGACAGCAAGUGAAUCAUAUGAAUCUGGUAAGCUCUGAAGUAGAAGUUUUGCACGUUCAUUUUCUGCUAUGCUGAAAUUUUUCAAUGUAAGUUGAGCAAACAUCGUAUUUAGAGUGUCAAUGUGAUUUGUCACAGAUGUGGGUUCACUAAUUCGAAGAGUGUAGAGUCUUCUCUUUAAGAAAAUUCGGUUGUGAAGUGACUUGACCUCGUACAAUUUGAUGAGAACAUCCCAAAUCUCCUUUGCGGUUUUAUUUUCAGCAACGCUAGACAAAACUGAAUCCGCCAAUGCUAAGUGUAAAUUGGAAACAACGUUGUUAUCCAUCUCAUUCCACUUCUCGUCAGAUAUUCCCUCAGCUCUAUCUUCAAUUGCGGCUAAGCAAUUAUCCUUCCUCAUGAUUGCCUUUAUCUUUAGUUUUCAUAGAGAGAAAUUACUCCCGUUGAACUUCUCAAUCUCAAAUUUUACUGUCAUGGUAAUUUCAAUUGAACCAGCUUGCAUAAUUUCACCGUGAACAAUAAAGUAUACAUGGACAAUAUUGUAUAUAUUUUACCGCACACCGGAACAAAUCUGGUAUACAUUAACAAUCAUUGUAAAAGUAUACAAUAACACGUAUGAAUAGUAACUGUGAACAAUAUUCGCAUCAGAAUAUGAACCAACACCAAAUGCUCUGAUACCAUUGUUGGAUAUUAGAAUAACAUGAAAUAAUAAUAACACAACUAAAAUUUGAGAGAAAAGUAUAGGAAUAAGAAGAAAUAUAGUUAAUUCUAACUCUUGGAUGAUUAUAGGAUGAUUAUAAACUACAAUAUGAUUUCUCUAUUUAUAAGAGGAUAUGAUCCAUAAUUUCAAAAUUUUGUUGUGAAAAAGAAGUAGAAAAAGACGUUUCUUAAAAAAAAUGAAUGAAUGACAAAAGAAAAAGAAUGACAUUGUUAGAAGGAUCACAAAUUUCUAGUAGUAACAAAAAGGUAUGAUGAAUGGAGGAGAACUAGGAACCUAACUCCAAAGGUGUAACCCUACUUUCCUAAAUAUAUCCUACCUUAACAUAAGCCAAGUUACAACCUGGAAAGCCCUCUAAUGUGUGUGUUGUGAGUUCUUUGAUGAACUUUAUUAGAACGUGAUCAAGCUAAGUUUAAUUGAUUUUGCAUGUUGAUUGAGUGAUCACCCAAUCCAAUGAGUGAGUUAUAGUGAGUUGAGAGACAGGUUGAAUACUCGUCAAUGUUAAGGAUGUUUUACGAAUUCAUCGGAUAGAAGUUGGAAGCUAGAACAUGGUCAAGUAAAAAAUAAUUAUUUAGUGAUGUUCGAUUGAUAUUGUGCGACUUGUUGUCUGUUGAAAUGUGCAAUUACAGGCGAGUUACUUGAGGACAAGCAACGAUUCAAGUUUGGGGUUGUGAUGACAGUCUGUCAUUGCAUGUAUUUAGUUAAAGAAUCAAAGUAAAACAAGUGAAAGUCAACCAAAUAUGAGAAGUAAUGGUCAAAGAAUGAAGGGAAAAUAGCUAACUGUACAAAUUGUAAUUUUGAGUGAAAAAAGAGCAAAAAAUACCGAAGCUUCGAAAAUAAUCACAACCACCAUCGCGCCCGCGAUAGGGCAUUAAAAGCUUCUUCGCGCGCGUGAUGCAGUGUAUCACACGCAUGAUGGUCACUUUUUUGGGCCUUUUUUGACGUGUUCUGGUCUAUUCUGACACCUUUAAAAGGGGAAAUUGUAUACUUUCACGUGGGUUACAAAAUUUGGCACUGGAAGCAUGAUUUUACAACAUUAAAGGGUGAUUUUGAGAGCAUUAGAAGCCAUUGGAGGCCAAUCCUUCAAGGGAAUUCAUAUGUUAUUUUUAUUUAUUCAAUUGGUAUUGUAAUUUUAACUAUGAGUAAUUAAGCUUCUCUAGGUUAGGUUGUGUGAUGAUGAAUCUUAUUCAAUCUUGUUGGCAUUAUAUGUUGGUUUGACUUUGUAUGAAUCCUUUGAAUUAUAAUUUUAUUCAGUUGUUGCUUAAUCUUAAUGCUUUUUAUUUGAGAUACUCUAUUAAUAUGAUUUUGGACACAUAGGGAUUAUUAACCCUUAGCCUAUGUGUUAGACCUAGGGAAACUAUUCUACUUAUGCUGGUUGAAUAGGGAUAGAAGAUCACGAGCAAUGGCAUAAGGAAUUAACAUUAUGUACAUCGCCUAACCCUGUUUACGCUGGCGGAUUAGGGAUAGGGAGCUCCGAGUAGUGGUUAGUGAUUUAUUUCGUGAGUGGUGAGGUUAUAAGGAUGAUAUCAUUCAUAGAAGGCAUCAUACUGUAAGACCCCAAUUUUGACCCUAAGAUCUCUCAUGUUAUCUCAUCAUAUGCAUUGGCUUUGGGAUCACACAUCGGCAUCCUCCUUACCCCUCAUUCAUUGGGUUUCCAUUGGGAGAGAUCACAAAGCAUGUUUGAUUGUAUCAUACUUUAUUUUUCUUUAUUUACUAACCAAAAUACCAAAAAUAUGUCCAUGUAUAACUUUGUUUCUUUUGUAGGUAGUAUGUGCAUCCACCAAUACCUCAUCAAGCUCACAACUAGGGUUUGAGGCCCUCAGGGCAAGGAUAUCAAUCAAGAGAUGGUUCACAUUGGUUCUAUACAUCAUAUAUGGAUCCGCGUAUUCUUCAUUUAUCAUUUGGAUCAAGAAAUCAUCAAGAGUUUGAAGCUAGUUUGCCUUGGAAACCCUAAUUCAUCUGGGUAUCUUGUGUGACUUCCUCAUCAAGUUUCUUUAAAAAUUGGUCCAAUAUAUCAAGGGAUACUUCACCAUACAUCAUAUUAUGAAUAUAUGAUCCUUAAUGAGUCCAAAAGAUCAAAAGAACUUCAAUUUUGCAAGUUGGUUCAAAGAGGUUGACCAGAGAAAGUCAACUGGUCAAAAAUGGGGUUCCCUAGACUCUAUCUCCUACAAUUUUUGUCAUAUGAAAAUAAUUCAAAUAUAAAAGUUACUCCUUAUGACAUUUAAAACAACUUUCAUGUUUAGGUUAAGAGCUAGUUUUUCUUGUAAAGUCAUUUUUUAUGGUGAAAGAUUAUAGGUCAUUUUGUCUGUGUCCUAGUUAGGAGGUCAACUUCCAAGGACCAUAACUUGCUCAAUUUGUAUGAGAUGAAGACCAUGAAAGUUUCAUGAUCCAUUUAGAGAUUUCCUAUCCAACUUUGAUUCUUUUAUAAAUUUCAAAUUCAACUUGCAAGGGCUUGUGCCAAGAGGAAACAUUAUAGGUCAUUUUGGACCAUUGCCAUUGAAUGAACAAUUUUCCUCAACUUCUAAAAUGCAUAACUAAUUCAUGACAAAUCCAAAUGAGGUCAAAGUUAUUACCAAAUUGAAUAGGAUUGAAAUAGCUACAAUGUUAAUGAAGAAAUGUUUUCCAUUUGAAGCUCAUAAAAAAAGUUAUUCAAGGUGGAAGAAGUGGAUAUUUGACUUAGUACUUAGAAAAAUUUCAAUUAUGUUUGAUUUCUCAAACUUCCACCUCAAAAUUCAUCAUGAUCUAAGCCUCAAAUAGAAAAGUGUUCAACAUGAAAGUUUUCCCCCCUGAUGUCACCUUUCUGAAACGUCCAAAAUCACCUCAUUUGGAUAAGAUUUGAAUGACUUGCGCAUGGUUACUCUUCAUGGUCCCAUUUGGAUGAAUCUCAUGAUCAUUUCUCAAUUACAAAUGCAUGGCCUCAUGUUAGACUUUAAGCAUCAUUCAUGAUCAUUUUUGGACCUGAUUACAUCAUCUCAUAGGCCUAUCACAUGCCCAUGCAAGUAUGCACUUCACCUUUCCAACUUUGGCCAAUUUUUGAAGUGUGUGAAAAGCAAUGAACAUGGCUAUAAAUACAUGACCCUAGUGAUCAGAAUGAGGAUCCUCUUGCCCCAGAUUUUCCCCCUUUCUUCCCUAAACACCAUUGAAAGGAUAAUCUUGAAGAUUUCUUGAGAAAUCGAGUUUCAAUUCUCAUUCUGUUUUAGAAUUGAAACUCCAAGAGUCCAAGUUUUUUAAUCAUCAAUAUCAUCUCCUGCAAGCUUCUAGAGUCAAGCCAAGCCAAAUUGGAAGCAAGAUUAAUCUAAUUUGAAGCUCCCCGAAGGAGAGAUUUCAGAAACUUCUCUUCUUCGAUUCUUCCUCAUUUCUCAUCCAUUUUGAUUGAUUGUUGGUUUGUUGAUGUCCUACCAAUGUAGGCAACAAGAUUGAGUUGCUUUGAGGUCAAAUCGAAGCAACUCAGUUCAUGAUCCUCAAAAUUCAAAUCCAUGUAUCUUUCAAUAUACUUGGAAUUAGAUAAAAUUGAGUCCAGAUUCGUGCUUUUGAGCAUUUUUUCUCUAAAACUAUGUCCUUGUUUUUCAUUUUGGUGAAAGUUUGUGGUGGACCAGUCCGGUGAGGUCCACCGGAGAAGAUGACCGCUUCGGUGGUGCGUUGGCACUCUCUCAACCUUUUGAUCCAUUUGAAAUGUUCUAAUCUUGGCCCCUUGCUUUUGAUUACCAUGUGUGUGUCGCAGUUGACUGAGGUGUUUGUGCAACGUGCACGCUUGGCCAUUAGAUCUGCCACCUCAAUUAAUGAGGGAGAUCUGAUGGCCCCCAAUUUUCCAUAUUUCCGGAUUUUUUAUUUAAUUGUGUUAUUUUAUUUAAUUCAUAAUAAAUCCAUUUUUAAUCAAAAAAAUAUGGGACUUUCACCCAAAAAAAUUAAAUAUUUCUCUAUUCCAUAUUCUGAAUUAAAAUUAUUUUUUGGAUUGAUUUUGAUAUUUUUCACGAAUUAAGUGUUUUUGUGCAUAUUUUUAAUUGUUUAAAAAUACUUCUGACUUUUUAAAAAUCAUGAAUUUUUUUGUCUAAGGUCCUUUAACCUUGUUUGACCUAGGAUAAAUCCAUUGGCCAUUUAUUUGGUGUUUUGAAGGGAUUUGAGGUUUUGUCCAAAUAAAAAUGCAUUUAAAUUUAUUUUUAAUUGAUUAAAUGUUUGGAAAUUAUGUUGAGCCAUUUUUAUGGUCUUGUGAUGUUUGACUUUCUGUUUGGGCUUUGGUCAUGGUUGAUUUGACUUUUGUUGGAUCAAAACCAUUGGAUUUAGCGAAUUGAUGAAAUGUACAUUUCAUCUCCCAAAAUAAAUGGAUGGUUUUGAUUAGAUGAAAUUACUCUCAUGAUCAAUUUGUGUUUCUAUUUCCACUUCCCUCUUCAUCUUCAUCCCCAUUCUUCCCCAUUUCCUCAUUUGACCAAUGAAAGCUCUAAUGUCUAAAUGCUAAUUGAUUCAUCAAUGACUUUGUGUCAGAUGAAUCAAUAUAAAUAUGACUGAGAUAGGUCCCUUCCCAUUUUUCUUUAGUGUGUGGUAUGUUUUAGGAGUUUGGUUCUUUGUACCAAAUCUCUAACAUGCAUUAACACCUAUAUUUUUAUUGUUCGGCCUCAUAUAGUUGUGACUUCUACAUAAGUCCAAUUACGAUUGCUUAAAAUUGAGCUAAAUUUGACCCUCAAGGCACAACAUUCUAGUAAGUGAGAUUGUAAAGUCUCCCAUUCUUCAUGGCAUUGUGUGGGGAAUUGACCUUUUUUCCUUUCAUGAGAGCUAGUGGCAUACUUAUUGAAUUAUCCAAGUUGGAGCCCUUCUCAUGGAUGAUGUCUUGGUUCAAGGAUCCAUACUUGUGAGUGAAUGGUUGAGUGUUAUCCAAAGAAUGACUUAAUCAAUUAAACUCAACACUAACUUUUGACUAACCAUUGACUAACUUUUAGUCCUUAUGCUUUUACUUUCAAGCCAUUUACUUUAUACAAUUUUAAUUUCCAGUGAUUUAUUAUUCAUUGCCAUUUACAUUUCAUAUAGCUUAUUUAGGUUCAAGUCCUUUUUCACUUUGCUCACUUGAGCCAUAUCUUGUGAUUGUAUAUAUUUGUUUGUGUGUUUUGAUCUUGUUUGUGGUUUUAAGACCUUAAAACACCUAAUAACAUCAAAAACCCUAAAAAACAUUUGGUGGACUGUUGGGGUUUGAUUUGAGCUUUGGACUUAGAAUUAGGUAACUUUACCUAUGCUAAAGGACUUGGCCAAUGCCAACAUAUGAGACUGAGCUAUUCUUGACAAGUGAUUUUUAUCUGUCUCUGUGAUUAAUUGUUACUUUGUUAUGAUCUUUGUCUGAUGUUUUGUUCUGAGCUGAUCAAGGAAUAUUUCAUCUGAUACAUGGGAAGACAAUGAAGACUACUAACUAUUGGAAUGCUUGCUUGUAUGUGGCUAUCUUUAUUUGAUGCCUUAAUCUUUAUGAUGUCUAGAUAUUGCUCAUUGCUUAUUGCUUAUUGCUUGAUCAAAGUCCAAAGGAAAAUGGGUUUCUAUAUGACAUUCUUGUCUGUUGGAUUGCAUCCCAUUUGUUAGAUCUUUUCAACUCUUAACUUUUGAAUUUUUGCUUAGGGUCGUCUAUUCAUCUCCUUCCACUUCUUAAAUUUCAAAAUCUCUCCCUCGUUUCAAAAAACUUUCUUUGCUUGUGAUUUUAAAUUUAUACAUGUUUUAAUAAUUAGAAACUUUGACCUUAUGCCAAUGAAUUUUAAAAUCUUUUCUUAAUCAAAUUUGUAAAUAAACUUAACCAUAUUUGACUUAAAAUUUCAAAAGACAAAAAUAACUAACAACCUCAUUCAAAACUUUGGCCUUUUUGUGCCUUUUUUACUUAAACUUUUGUUAAAAAUCAACUCACCAACUUUUUUGAAAUUUUUAUCACGAACUACGAGGUUUUGAUCCCUCAUUUUUAUGUUGGUACGUAUGCACAAGACCGAAGGUGUUGUCAAACAAAAAAAAAUAAUCAAUGAAUUCUUUUCUCAUCCCCACACUCUAUUUUUCUUAAACAUCUUUUAUACCAAAACAUAUGCACACAUAAAAAGGGCUCCCUAGGAGUAUCUAGGACACUUUGGAUGCUAACACCAUCCCUCUGUGUAAUCAACCCCCUUACCUGUAAUCUUUGGCAUUUUAUUAAUUUUGAUUUGAAAACUUCUUAUACUUGGGUUUUGUUCGUACUUUUCCCUUUUUCUUUGGAAACAAUAAAAGCGCGGUGGCAACUCUGAUUUUAUUGACGUUAAACUUAUCCAUAGCUUGAUGGUCAUGAAUUUACCGCUACACAUACAUCAACAAGAGAGCAUAAGGGGAUUCUAAUACACAACCCAAUCGUCUUAAUUACUUAUAUUUCAAACUCGUAAUUUGUUUUCCAUCUAAAAACCUGAAAACCUCUCAUUUACUGCUUUCCUUUACAUUGCACAAUUGUUGGCUUGUUCGAACACAGUCCUUGUUGAUUCAAUCUUUUAUUACUAUGAUAGUAUCUGUACACUUGUCGAGAAGUCAUCAUAUAACAAUUCCAAUCGAUAAGCAUAAUAUCUUUUAUGCUAAAAAUUUAUUUCGCCACACAAAAUCAAUUUUGUUUUAGAAACUCUGAUAAAAGUUUUUCAAACUAUUUUUCAGAGGAAUUUUUUAUGAAGGUCUAUUUACCCCCCCCCCCCCCCCCCCCCCCCNCCCCCCCCCAAUAUACCGUUUAUUGUCCAUAUUCUCAUCCAACACUUUUAAACUACUCUUCAAUUUUCAUCAUAAAAAUUAAACGACAAUUAUACUUGCACAACACAUAUAUUCACUCAAAGGAUAAAUUUUUAUCCUCUUAGGAUACUCUAAAAUAUCUAAGGCAUGCAAGUGUAUGACAAGAAAACCUUAAGGGUUAGGGAUCAAUCCAUAUAAAGUAUUAUGAUAAAGAGUUUGAUAAUAAUAAGUCAUAGCUAGUUAAAGAUUUUAAAGAUUUGGAAAUCAUAAAAAAACUUCUAACACAUGUACAUGUACAUAACAUUGAAGCAUCCCUUCAGUGUUACAAAGAAUAUGAUCCCAUGUGAUGAAGCACCACCUUGACUAACCUUUAAGUACAUGUCAUCAUAUCCAGAAGAGAAAAUCAUUAGUAACAAAGAUGAUCCUCUAAGUAACAUAUCAUCAUUCAUAAAUGAAACCUCUUUAGUUGAAUGCCUUUCAAUGCUUGAACCAACCUCUGUGGAUUUGAGAGACGAUGUUUAGAUAGUGGAAAUUCAAAAAGAACUAAAUCAAUUCCAAACAAAUGAAAUUUUGGUUAUUACGCCAUGAUUACAAGGAAGACAUGUCAUUAGAGCCAAAUGAGUUUUCAUAAACAAUCUUAAUGAGAAACGAGAUGUGGUAAGAAAUAAAGCUAAACUAGUAUAUCAAGUCUACAUUUAGUAAGAAGGUAUCAAUAGUACUAAAACUUUUUCACUUGUAAGUUAGAAGAAAUUUAAAAUUUUACGGGACCAUUUAUUCCCUUAACUUUUAAAAAUACCGAUUCAAUCCCUUAUGUCUUCACAUGUUAGACCUUUCUGUUAGGCAUGUUAGUCAAAGUAAAAAUAAAUGGCCAUUUGACAUAAACUUGGCACUGAUGUGGCAUAUGCUCAUUACCAAGGUCGCCAAGGUCAUCAAAAUUCUAAGAAAAAUUCCAAAAUUUUGUCUUCACCAUUGAUUUAAACCAUGGUCGCAUUGAUUGCUGGGUAAGAUACUAUACCGUUGGGCCACUUCACCAUUUUUGAUUUAAUUUACAAAUUAAAUAUAUAUUGAAAUAUUAAUUAUUUGUAAAAAGAAGAUAUUCAACCCAACCAAUAUCACUGUUUUAUCCAAUUUUCUUGUUUCCAUACCCAAAUGGAUUAGCUGGUUAUGCUUUUUCCUUUUCAUCAAAAGUCAAGGAAAAGAUAUUAACAUCUUCAUAUUCGAAUAAAGAUAUAUAUUCCAUUGAAACACCAUGGUUAACAACCUUAAAGAAUCCAAACUCUUCAGUUAUGAGUGCGGUUUGUUUCAAGUUUCUUAAACAUGGAUAUUGUAGUGGUAAAUUCAUGACCAUCAAGCUAUGGAUAAACUUAACGUCAAUAAAACCAGAGUCUCCACCGUGCUUUUAUCGUUUCCAAAGGAAAAGGAAAAAGUACGAACAAAACCCAAGGAUAAAAUGCCAGAGAUUACAAGUAAGGGGGUUGGUUACACAGAUGGAAGGUGUUAGCACCCGAAGUGUCCUAGGUACUCCUAGGGAGGCCUUUUUGUGUGCAUAUGUCAAUCAAAAAAUUAACUUUAGUUCAGAAUGUGGAAGAGAAAAAUAUUUUUUUUUUGUGAAAGUCCCAUAUUUUUUGGAUUAAAAAUGGAUUUAUUAUGAAUUGAACAAAAUAACUCAAUUAAAUGAAAAAUCAAAAAAUAUGGAAAAUCAUCGACCAUCAAUCUCCCUCAUUAAUUGAGGUGGCAAAUCUGAUGGCCACGCAUGUGCAGUCCACCAAAGACCAAGCCAAACGCGUUGCAUGAAUGGUAAUUGGAACGAAGGGAUGAAAUUAAAUUUUUUUGAAUGGAUCAAAGGGUUGGGAACACGACAACACACCACUGAAGCUAGGGCUCUGGUCAUCUUCUCCGGUGAACCUCACCGGACUGGAUGACCACCAACCAUCACCAAAAUGAAAAACAAGGACAUGAUUUUAAAGAAAAAAUGCCCAGGAGCUCGAGUAUGGUCUCAAUUUUGUCCAAUUCCAAGUAUAUUGAAAGAUACAUGGAUUUGAAUUUUGAGGAUUAUGAACUGAGUUGUUUCGAUUUGACCUCAAAGUAACUCAAUCUUGUUGCCCACAUUUGUAGGACUUCAGCAAACCAACAAUCAAUCAAAAUGGAUGAGAAAUGAGGGAGAAUCGAAGAAGAGAAGUUUUUGAAAUCUCACUUUCGAGGAGCUUCAAAUCAACUUGAUCUUGCUUCCAAUUUGGCUUGGCUUGACUCUAGAAGCUUGCAGGAGAUGAUAUUGAUGAUUAAAAAACUUGGACUCUUGGAGUUUCAAUUCUAAAACAAAAUGAAAAUUGAAACUCGAUUUCUCAAGAAAUCUUCAAGAUUAUCCUUUCAAUGGUGUUUGGGGAAGAAAGGGGUCGGAGCUUGGGAAAGAGGAUCCACAUUCUGAUCACCAGGGUCAUGUAUUUAUAGCCAUGUCCAUUGCUUUUCACACACUUCAAAAAUUGGCCAAAAUUGGAAAGGUGAAGUGCAUGCUUGCAUGGGCAUGUGAUAAGCCCAUGAGAUGAUGUAAUCAGGUCCAAAAAUGAUCAUGAAUGAUGCUAAAAGUCUAACAUGAGGCCAUGCAUUUUUAAUUGAGAAGUGAUCAUGAGAUUCAUCCAAAUGGAACCAUGAAGAGUAACCAUGCUCAAAUAAUUCAAACCUUGUCUAACUGAAGUUAUUUUGGACUUUUUGGAAAGGUGGGAUCAAGGGGAACAACUUUAAUGUUGAACAUAUUUCCAUUAGAAACUUGGAUCAUGAUGAAUUUUAAGGUGGAAGUUUGAGAAAUCAAACAUAAUUGAAAUUUUUCUAAGUACCAAGUCAAAUAUCAUUUCUUCCACCUUGAAUAACUUUUGCUAUGAGCUUCAAAUGGAAAAAGUUUAUUCAUAAAAGUUGUAUAUCUUAAAAUUAUAUUCAAUUUGGUCAUGAAGGAGUUAUGCAUUUUAGAAGUUGAGGAAAAUUGCUUGUUCAAUGGUAAUGACCCAAAAUGACCUAUAAUGUUUCCUCUUGGAACAUGCCCUUGCAAGUUGAAUUUGACAUUUUUCAAAGAAUAAAAGUUGGAGAGGACAUCUUGAAAUUGAUUAUGAAACUUGUAUGGACUUCCUCUCAUAAAAAUUGAGCAAGUUAUGGUCCUUGGAUGUUGACCUUCUAACUAGGGUACAAACAAAAUGACCUAUAAUGUUUCACCAUAAAAAGUGACUUUCCAAGAAACAAUAGCUCUUGAUGCCAACAUGAAAGUUGUUUGGAAUGUAAUAAUAAGUAACUUUUCAGUUGGUAUAAUUUUCAUAUGACAAAAUUUGUAGGAGAUAGGGUCUAGGGAACCCCAGUUUUGACUAGUUGACUUUCUCUGGUCAAGUUCUUUGAACCAACUUGCAAACUUGAAGUUAUCUUGAUCUUUUGGGCUCAUGGAGGAUCAUAUAUGCAUAAUAUGAUGUUAUAUGAAGUAUACCUUGAUAUAUUGGACCAAAUGCUGGAGAAACUUCCUGAGGAAGUCACACAAGAUACCCAGAUGAAUUAGGGUUUCCAAGGCAAAACAAGCUUCAAACUCUUGAUGAUUUCUUGAUCCAAAUGAUAAAUAAAGAACAUGGGGAUCCAUACAUGAUGUCUAGAACCAAUGUGAACCAUAUCUUGAUUGAUCUUAUUGCACUGAGGGUCUCAAACCCUAGUUAUGAGCUUGAUGAGGCAUUGGUGGAUGCACACACUACCUACAAAAGAAACAAAGCUAUACAUGGACAUAUUUUUGUAUUUUGGUUAGUAAAUAAAGAAAAACAAAGUAUGAUACAAUCAAAUGUGCUUGGUGAUCUCUCCCAAUGCAAAACCAAUGAUUAUGGGGUAAGGAGGAUGCCAAGGUGUGAUCCCAAAGCCAAUGCAUAUGAUGAGAUAGCAUGAGGGAUCUUAGGGUCAAAUUUGGGGUCUUACAGAUAUUUCUUUGUUGUUGUUUUUGACAACACAACCAUUUUGAAUGGAUGAAAGAAAGCAUAGGUGAUUAAUAUUCUAAAAUUAUAAUGAGUUUUUAUCAUGUGUAUAACCUUAAUAAAAAAAAAGCCACAACUUAUUUCAGAAAUUAUUUGAAACCAAGAAAUCUUAAUAAGAGCUAUGGGAAACUUAUUAUGAUUUUUUACCAUGUGUGCAAUCUUAAUCGAAAUCCAGAAAUUAUUCUACAAAUAUUCCAUAAAUCAAAAUCAAAAUUGAAAUCAUACUUACAAAUUGAAAUUGAAAUCUUAAUCGAAACCAAAACCCAGAACAUCAAACUAAAACUAAAAUCUUAAUCAAAAUUGAAAUCUCUAUUGAGAUUGUUCAUCAUCUUCCCUGAAAUCUCUAUCGAGAUUAUUCAUCAUCUUCCCUAAGAUGCUUUUGCUGAAAUAACCACUGCAACACCGAUUGGGUUUAAUGAACAUUACAGAAUCUGGAGACAAGAUUGUUCUUCAUCAAUUUGAGUUGUUUUGGCGAGAUGAGGUUCUUCGAUAGAAAUAAAGUUAGGAACUUUUUGGUUACUUAGGAGAAAAGGAAAAUGAACAAGUUAAUGAAGAUGAACAUUGAACUAAAUCAACCAUUCCUAGAAGCUGAAAGGAACAAAAUUGAUAAUGAAUUUGAGGAUGAGAUUUCUUCCUCCAUGUUUUCAUGGAGAAAUCAUUGGUACCCAGCUUCUUUAAUUGAAGAUCUGAACCCUGGCUUACCAACACCGUUUCAGCUUCUAGGUCAUGAAAUCGUGAUUUGGUAUGAUAAUUCCAAAUCUCAAUGGGUUGCUUUUGAUGAUAAAUAUCGUCACUGUCUUGUUAGAGAAACAUUGAAUAAUGCUCUAUUUAGAUAAACAUUUGAAUUAAACGUUUAUAAACAUGUGAAUAUAUAUCUAAUUUGUAAAUUAAAUCGUCAAAGGUUAAAUGGACCAGUGGUACACCAUCUUGUCCAACUACCAAGGUGACCUUGUUUUGAAUCUAGGUUGAAGAUAAAUUUUUGGAAUUUUGUUUAGAAUUUUGAUGACCUUGUUGAUGACCAUAGGCCACAUCAGAUGCCACACAUGCUAAUAUAGAUGUCGUUUAUGGAAACUAGACAUAAAGGACUUAAAUGACAAUGUAUGAAGACAUAAAGGACUAUAUUGGUCUUUUAAAAGUUUAUGGACCAAAAUAGACCCUGAGAUAUAUGUUUUUAAAUUGAAAAAUAAUUGUAUGAUCUCAAACAAGCCCUCAAAGUUUGAUAUGGUGGGUUUAGUAACAUUCUCAUUAAAAAUGAUUUUUAAAGAGGACAACUUGACAUUAAAUUAUUUUGUAAAAUAACCAAGAAUAGUAUUUUUUGGUAUAUGUUGAUGAUAUAUGUUGUAGAUAAUUUAGAUAUAUGUUGAUGAUAUAUUUUUUUGGUUCUCUAAUAUGUAACUAUUUUUCAAUACUUUUUCAAGUUAAUGCAAACUGAAAUUUGAAAUGAGGGCGACGGGACUUCGAAGUUAUUUCUGGGUAUUCAAAUAAAUCAAUUGUACAUAUGGAAUAUACAUUCACUAAAUAAAAUGUAAGCAUAUGAAAACUCCAAUUCACCUUAAUUGCAUUAUACAUAAAAGAUGAAAUCAACACUAGGGUAGCCCAAAAUGUAUACAAAAUUAUAAUAAUUUCACUUAUUAUCUCACUAUUUUUAGACCUGAUAUUCUAUUCAUUGUAUGUAUGUACGUUCAUUUCCAAUCAGUUCCUAGAAAAUCCAAUUUAACUAACAUUAAGAGAAUGCUUAUAUAUGUGAUAGAUACUACUAACAUUGGCUUGUAUUAUAAGAAAUUAAAUGAUUACAAGCUAGUUAGGUUCUGCGAUGUUGUCUAUGUUGGAGACAAAAUAGAAAGAAAAAAUAACAAUGAAAGUUGUUAGUUCCUUGGUUAUAAUAUCAUUUCCUAACUAAGAAAAAGACAACAAAUAAUUUCAAUAUCCAUAAUAGAAGCAUAAUACAUAUCAACUGUAAGUUGUAACACUCAACUUCUUUGGAUGAAACAUCAACGUGAAGAUUAUCAUAUAAAGGAAAGUAAGAUUUAUAUUUAUUAUGAUAAUACUUCUUCCAUUUUUUAAUUUAUGAAUCAAAUUUUGCACUCUAUAGCAAAACAUGUUGAGAUUAAACAUCACUUUACUAGAGAUUAUGUUCAGAAAGAGAUUUUAGAUAUAAAGUUUGUUGAUAGAGAUCUUCAAAGGGCUAAUAUAUUAACAAAACUCUUAACCGAAGAUAAAUCUAGUUUUAUAAAGAAGAAUUUAAAUAUUCUCUUUAUAAAAAAGAAUGAUGUUUUAAUCUUAUAUAUAUAUUAUAUAUAUUAUAUAUAUAAUUAUAUAUAUUAUAUAUAUAUAUAUAUAUAUAUAUAAUAUAUAUAUAUAUAAUAUAUAUAUAUAUAUAUUAUAUAUUAUAUAUUAUAUAUAUAUAUUUAUAUAUAUAUAUAAUAUAUAUAUAUAUAUAUUAUAUUUAUAUAUAUAUUUAUAUAUAUUAUAUAUAUAUAUUAUAUAUUAUAUAUUAUAUAUUAAUAUUAUUAUAUAUAUAAUAUAUAUUUAUAAUAUUAAUUAUUAUUAUAUUAUAUAAUUCUAUAUAUAUUUAUAUUAUAUAUAUAUAUGAGCUGAAAGAUCUUGACUUAAAGUUCUACCUUAACUUUCAAACAUACAAUUUCAACUAAGAUUAACCCUAAGUGUUGUGUUUCUAUUAUUAUUUUUUUGGUUGUAUUUUCUAAGGGGAUAUUUUGAAUAUAAUUCUUUGAAUGAUCAAAUGAAAAUAUUUUUUUUUGUUUCUAAGCCAAAGAAUGAUCACCUGCCUCCAGACAAAGCUAUGAUCAUCUGUUGCCUAACAAGGUUAACCACUUAGACCUCAAGGCUAAAUGUUAUUUGAAUAAUCAUUUGUGCCAAAUCUAACUAAACCAAACCAAUGCAGUUUGAAUUGAUUCGGUUGAUUCGAUUUCUUACAAGAUUUUUAUUGAGCUAUACAUACACAUAUAGAGGACAACACAAAUUUGUGUCUAGUAAUUCAUACAUUACCAAAUAAAAAAUAAAAAAAAGUCAAUGAGGACAAGCUACAACACCAUUUCAACACCAAAUAAUAAAAAAAACUCAAAUAACAAUGUGUAUUACAAAGUACAAAUUGAAAUUUUAGACAAUAACAUUAAUGCCUUACAUUACAAUAUUAUGGUAGCAACACAAGAAUACCACCUAGACCAAAACUAGACUAUCCAUCACACAAUAAAACAAAUAAAUACUUCAAUCAUAUAUUAGAUCUUAAAAACACAACACUUAAGGUUGAAGAAGAGAAAAGAUGUUAGAAAUCCACUACAACUUAUGAAGAAUUUUUAUCAAUCUUGAUGAACAAGAUUGUUAUCAACCAUGCAAUGACAAUGAAAAUAAAAGAACAAUUGAGAAAGAAAGAAAAGAACGUUGGAGAAUAAUAAUAAUAUUUUCUUCAGAGUUUUUUCUCUGCCCAUAAUAUGUGGACAACUUCUUUAUUGACUUUGCGACUGCAAAAUUCUAUGAAUACAAUGUUAUGACUUCUCUAUUGUAAGAAUAAGGGUUACUCCCUCUAUUUAUAGAUUUAGGUUAACUUACUCCCUAAGUCAAAGCCCAAAACUAUAAAAACCAAAAAUAGUUAACACUACUAAAAAUAGGCCUAAGCUGAAAUCAUGUAUGAAGCAACAUGCUUCGACACUUCGACACACUAAUACAACUCAACACACUAGGUGAUUUGACAUUUCCUUGCUUUUGUCGAGCAACCUGCUUCGACAAAAGGAAUUACAAUUCAAUGCACCGCCUAAUUCAUUAUGUCUAAGCUAUAUAUAUUCAUUAUAGUUCUUAGUCUUUUGAGCACUUCGACUUGCAUUCCCUUCGUCAUGAUGUCUGCAAUCUGAUUCUCAGUUUUGUAGUGUUCCACAUUCAUCUUCCCAUCUACUGCUUUCUCUCAAAGAUAAUGGAACCUCAUUUCGAUGUGCUUGGUUCGACCAUAUGCUAUCAGAUUCUUUGCCAGAUUGAUAGCUUACAUGAUGUCGAUCUUUAUGGUAAUUGCUCCAUGACUCUUUGUUGUUAUCUCUUUGACUAGAUUCACCAUCCAUGUUGCUUGACAUGCACAAAGGGAAGCAACUAUGUAUUCUGCUUCACACGACGAUAAUGCCACUACUGGCUCCUUUCUCGAACUCCAAGCAACUGGUGCACCACCUAGCAUAAACACAUAGCCAUCUGUGGAUUUUUUAUCGCCAGCAUCACUACAACAACUUGAGUCGGUGUAUCCCACUAGUUUGCAUUCUUUUCCUUCAUCAUCUACAGGAAACAAAAUGUCAUAGUCGAGAGUUCCUUUCAGAUACCUUAAUAUCCUCUUCGUCGCUGCUAGAUAUGAUAUCUUUGACUUCUGCGUGAAUCUACUCCUCAUACCUAUAAUGUAUGCUAAGUCAGGCCUUGUGUGACAAAUGUAUCGAAGUGACCCAAUAAGUCUUCUAUAUUGGGUUGAGUCGACAUCAUCUUCAUCUGAAUCUUUCGACAGUUGUAAUCUUGGCUCAACUGGAGUCGAAGUUGGAUUGAAAUCUUGCAUCUCAAAUCUCUUGAGCAUUUCGCCUGCAUACCUUCUUUGAUGCAUCAUCAAACCUCUACCACUCUUGUAGAAUUCGAUGCCAAGGAAAUAUGAAAUGUCACCCAGAUCUGACAUUUCGAAUUCCUUGUUGAGAUCACCUUUGAAGUCUCCAAUCUCCUUCUUGCAGCUACUUGUUAUCAACAAGUCAUCGACAUAGAUACAUAGUAUAAGAAAUUCAAUCUUGCUUCUUCUUACAUAUACUCCAUGUUCAGUUGUACACUUCAUAAAUUCCUUCUCCCUUAGAAAUCCAUCUAUUUUCUUGUUCCAAUCUCUUGGAGCUUGUUUAAGUCCGUACAAGGCUUUAUGUAGACUGUACACUUUUCUUUCUUCGCCUUGUUUCAUAAACCCAACUGGUUGUACAACAUAAACUUCUUCUUCUAAGGGGCCAUUCAAGAAUGCAUAUUUCACAUCCAUCUAACACAUCUGCCACCUGUUCAUGUUUUCUAGACCAACAACCAACCUAAUUAUUCUGAUCCUAGCAACAGGUGCAAAAACUUCAUCGAAGUUGAUUCCUUCUUUCUGAAGAAAUCCUUUCACCACAAGUCUUGCCUUAUGUCGAGCCACUUCUCCUUUGGGAUUUAGCUUCACCUUGUAUACCCACUUCAUAUCGAUUUCCUUCUUAUCUUGGAGCAAUUCAACAAGCGACUAAGUACUGUUGACUUUGAUUGACUUCAAUUCUUCGUUCAUUGCUUUCACCCACUUAGAAUCUUUCAAUGCCUUAGCUGCAUUGAUCGGUUCGACAUUUGUGUAGAAAGUAUAGUGUACCAACUCACAUUCUUCAUUUACCACAUCAUCUGAUGUAAUCACACAUUCUUACAACCUUGUAGGCAUAUGUCUUGUUCUUUGAGGUCUGCUUGGGUCUGCUUCACCUCUGACUUCUUGUCGAACUUCUCUUUCGACUUCACUAGCUGGAUCAUCACAUAAUAUUCUCACUGAAUCCUUCUUAACAUUCUCAAUCCAAUCCCAUUCCUUAAGCUCAUAUAUGAUCACAUCCCUGAUGACCACCACUUGCUUAUUCACUGGGUCGAACAACUUGUAUCCUCUAGUCGAAUGAUAUCAUAUCAGGAUCAUUUGACUCGACUUGCCAUCAAGUUUUCUUCUCAAUUGAUAUGGAACAUGUAUAUAUGUUAUAGAUCCAAACACCUUUAGAUGACUCAACCUAGGCUUGGCACCAAACAAAUAUUCUUCUGGCGUGAUUCCUUUUAUCUUCUUCGUCGAACAUCUAUUCAGGAUAUAUGUUGCAGUCGACACAAUUUCUCCCUAUAAUUCUUUGGGUAGAUGCUUUCCUUUCGACAUACUUCUCACCAUAUUUAUGAUGGUUCUAUUCUUCCUUUCCGUGACUCCAUUCUGUUCUGGAGUGUAGGGCGACACCACCUCAUGCACAAUCCCUUCUUUCACACGUAAUGCGUCGAAGUCUUUCGACAAAUAUUCUCCACCACCAUCAGUCCUCGGAAUCUUGAGCUUUCGACAGCUUUGUCUUUCGACCAUAGAUUUAAACUUGGUAAAUACCUCGAUCACUUCACUUUUCUUCUUGAUCAAGUAAGCCCAUAGUUUUCGAUUGAAAUCAUCUAUGAAUGUGACAAAGUAUUUGUUACCUCCAAUCGAAUCCACCUGGAUAGGACCACAUACGUCAUAAUAUAUAACUUCAAGAAUUGCCUUCGACCUACUUCCUGCGUCCUUACUGAAGAUGUUCUUGUGCUGCUUCAUUUGCACACAUUCUUCACACACUUCGCCUGGAAUAUCGAUUUCUGGUAAUCCUUAAACCAUAGUUCUUCUCUUUAAAUCUAUGAUGUCUUUGAAAUUGAGAUGACCAAGUCUGUAAUGACAUAUCCAUUCAUCUCUGAUGGCUGAUGUUGCAAGGCACUUAUGCUUCAUCACAUUAAGCUCAAUCUUGAAGGUUCUAUUAUGAGAUAUUAGAGCCUUCAAGAUCAAUCUUCCAUUUGAGUAGAGACCUCCCAUCAUCUUGUCUUCGAUCGACACCUUGUAGUUCUUUUAGACUAACUGCCGUAUGCUGAGCAAAUUACUCUUCAUGCCUGGUAUGUACAACACAUUUGAAAUUACUGACCUCUUGCCAUCUUUCCUCAUAAUCAGAGCAUCAAUAACACCUUCAACUACUAGAGUAUUGUCAUUUGAAAAUUUCACCAUGUUCUUCAUUGAGGGCUUUAUGUUGACAAACCAAUCUUUCCUUCCCAGACAUGUGUGAUGAGCAUCCUGAGUCCAAGUACCAUUGGUCCUUGAAUCCCUCUUCAUCUCUCGUUGUAACCAUCAGUGACAUCUCUUCUUCUUCAUGUUUCACUAGCUUUGCAUAAGUUUCUUGAUUCUUUUGCUUUUCUGGACAAUCACUAGAAUAAUGACCAUGCUUCUGACAAUUGUAACACUAAAUGUGAAUCUUGUCUGGCUUUUGACCACCACCUCUUCCUCUACCUGUAACACCACCUCUUUGGUUGCCUUGGUUAUAGGGUUUUCUAUGAUUCGACCAGUUUCCUUCUUGCUGAUUUCGACCAGUCGAAUUGUUGUAGCCUCUUUUGCUAUUGUUAUCAUUCUAGCUUUCUUUGCCUUUCCUUUCUUUUGCUGAUUGCGCCAGCAAAGCCAUAUCACUCUUCGAAUUUCCUGCAGCUCUUUCAGCCAUUCUUUAUUCAUGAGAUUCAAGCAUCCCUUGAAGUUAUUCCUUUGUCAGUUUUGAUAAAUCUUUCGAAUCUUUUAUGACUACUAUCCCGUGGUCAAACUUUGGAGCCAACUGCCUCAAGAUAUUUCCAACAACAAAUCUUGAUGUCAACACUUCUCCAUAUACCUUGGUUUGAUUCACCAGUUUCGUAACCUUGGUGAAGAAAUCAGUUAUGCUUUCAUUGUCUUCCAUCUGAAGCAAUUCACACGUCCUUUUGUCUGUUUGUAACCUCACUUCUUUCACCUUCUCCGCGCCUCUAAAUGACUUCUCCAGAAUUUCUCAUGAUUCUUUCGCUGACUCUACAUCACUAACCUUUUCAAAGUUACCUGAAUCAACACAUUGAUGGAUUAUAAAGAGAGCUUUAUAAUCUUUCUUUUUCAAUUCUUUAUGUGCAACCCUUUCUUGUUCUGUCACGUUUUCUGCAAGCGUUGUUACUUCUUCCUUCACAAGACCCCAAAGAUCUUGAUAAUAGAACACAACAUUUAUCUGCUUGCACCAAUUCUCAUAAUUAUUAUUCUUGAGAAUUAGAAGAUUCACUGGAAAAUACCCGUUUGGAUGAUUCAUUUCCAUCAUGAUUUUCUUCCCAGGAAUCGCUCAAACCAAAGCUCUUGAUACCAGAUGUUAGAAAUCCAUCAUAACCUUUGGAAAAUUUCUAUCAAUCUUGAUGAACAAGAUUGUUAUCAACCACGCAAUGACAAUGAAAAUAAAAGAACAAUUGAGAAAGAAAGAAAAGAACGUUGGAGAAAAAGAAGAAUAUUUUCUGUAGAGUUUUUCUCUGUCCAUAAUUUGUGGAAAACUUCUUUAUUCACUUUACAACUGUAAAAUUCUGUGAAUACAAUGUUAUGACUUCUCUAUUACAAGAAUAAGAGUUACUCCCUCUAUUUAUAGAUUUAGGUUAACUUACUCCCUAAGUCAAAACCCAAAAUUAUAAAAGCCCAAAAUAGUUAACACUACUAAAAAUAGGUCUAAGUCGAAAUCCUGUGUGAAACAACAUGCUUCGACACACUAAUACAACUCAACACACUAGGUGAUUCGACACUUCCUUACUUCCGUCGGACAACCUGCUUCGACAAAAGGAAUUACAAUUCAACAAAUCAUUUAUAAUCAUAAGGGUAAAGCAAAAUGAAUUUGAAUUCGGUUUGAAUGUGAAUAAAGUGAAAUUUGGGUUAUCACAUAAUGCAAUUCGAUUUGAUUUAUAAAAUACACAUCACAAAUCGAAAAUGACGCGCAUGGUUCUACUAAAAAUGACUCAAACACGUCGAAACUAAACUUACUUUUUAUAUAUUCAAUUUUAUUUAGUUCAUUCAUCAAUUUUUUAUUGCACCGAUUCGAUUUUAAAUAGCUUUAUCAAUACCCAAAGUAACACGUUCAUAUAGACUCAACACAGCGUAACCCAUAUUCCUACUAAUUUCAAUUUAAAAUAUAAGAAAAGGAAUAAAAUAAUUAUCAACUUUUUAAAUGGCUUUUAACGGUCACAUGACCGAUUUUUAUCAAAACGUUUUUGAAAGGGUUUUAACGGUCACAUGCAACAAAAAAAAUACCUACAUAAAAAACAUGUCAAAAACUUAAUUUUGCCAGAAGCAAUCACUGUAUUAACGAAUAAAUAAUUGAUUGUUUCUAUUGUAAAUCAUGUUAGAAAACAGGGUGGUUAGGACACGGCCGUCCAGCCAUUAACUUGCAUAAUUAAAUGUUAAUUAUCCAAUCAGAAUAUAUAAAGGCUGGCGUCUAAUCUUAAAUACCUAAAAUUUUAUGUUUAUUCUAUCUUCGCGAACGAGACAAUGACAAUCAUUAAUUUUCUUAUUUCAUCAACAAAAAGAAAGACAAUGAUUAAGUUUACAUGCUUGUUACAAGCCAUUACUAUAAUACAAACUUUCAGAUUAAAAAACACUUUGAAUUAAUUAAUAUUCUUGCAGCUAGAUGAGUACAGAAGCAUAUAAUAAUAAUGUCACCUAACAUACCUUAAUUUAAUUCCCUGAAUAGCGUCAAUGACUUGUCCCGAUAACAUUAAUAAAUGUAUGGUUUGAAAGUUGUACUCCAUUGAAAUUUGAAAUUUGAAAUUUGUUUUGGGGGUUUUAUUCUUACUAAUUUUCUGGCAAAUACAGAGAAAAUAGCGUGGCGUUGCAUGGCCCACUUUACCCUUCAUAUCAUCUCGAUCGGAAAUGCGAUUUUAUAGCUAAUAAAAUAACUAAACUAAAUACAAAAAUAUAAAAAUACAAAAAUAACCAACAAUUUCAAAUUAAAAAAAAAAAUAAGUAUUUUAAAAAUUUUACCAACAGAACAACGAUAAGAGGAGUAGCCACUAUAUGAGGCAUAUGUACUACAUUUUUAAAUAAAGACAUCAUUAUAGUUGGCGCAUGCUUGUAUGUGAUGCCACUUGUGUAUCUAAUGUGUCACAGGCAGUGACUACUGCUUUGUUAGUGUAUUAUAUAAAUACUGCAUUUCCUUCCCAUCAUUUUUCACACUUCUUCUAACUAUCUCCUUCUAUUUUUUUCUUCAAAAUAUCUUCAUAUAUGUGUUCUUAUUUUCAGAAGAGAAAUAUCAAUUUAAUUUAUUCGACAGUAAAGUCUCCGAUGAAGAUCCAACUCUGGAAUAUAGAGACGUUCGAGCAUCUUAAUAUGAGUUUGAUCUGUUGGUUAGAUGGAGACAUUGCAAAGGAUGAAAACAUCAUGAGAAUUCAAAGGCUUGUUACCGUAUUCAACGACAAUGGAGAAAGUCGUUUAUGAGACAAUGUUAAAACUGACAGAGAUGCUCGCAUUAUGAUGCACAGUUCUGAGGAAAUUGUCUUGAUGGUUGUAAUCACAUAGUUAUAUUUUUCAGUCAUUGUAUUUAUUUGUCUUGUUGUUUAAAUUAUUGUUUAGUUCUUGUUUAAAUUGUUGUAACCGAAUGUUAUGAUAUUUAUAAAUUGAACGUUGUUUUCAAUAUAAAGUAAAAUGAUUACAUAUAAAAUUAUGUUGCGGUACUUGGUCCAACAUUGGGACAAUUUAUACGAUGGUGUUCGGGCUGACGACACGAACUAUAAAAUUUCACCAAUUUGUUCGUCGUUUCCAUUUUGGUUUGAAUGUGCAUGCUGUUAGGGCGACCCUUUUUCUUUCUUCGCAUUUUUUCAUUGUGCCAAACUAUGCCCCCCUUGAUAUGCAGGGCAAUAAUCCUCCUUUGCUAUAAAUAGAGAGCUAAUAUUGUAAACAUUGCAUAUGUUUAUGACUUUGUAAAUGGUGAAUAAUAAGUUGGAAGGGUCCUACCAAGCCUUUGAACAUGCCGCUAUGACAUGGUGUAACACCUCAAAAUUUGCCCUCAUCUUCUUGGGACUAGCUUAGCAUAUUGCAUUUCAUUUUUUAGGACAUUAGGUAUUUGCAUGUUGCAUAUCAUGUGAGAACAAGCAAGUCAUCCUCCUAAGUCUUUCUCAAAAGAUAGAGAUGUUAAGAGAUUCAUGCCUGAGGGUCUCAUGGAUUGAUCACUAGCCAUCUGACGGUUUGCGCUUCAAUUAGGGUUUCUUGGUCCUUCAAGGAGUUUGAGCAUUAUCUUAUUGGCAAGGGUACAUCAUCAUCAUCAUGGUUAUGUCAUCCUCAAGGGGCUCAUUGUUCAUGCUCAGAUUCUUUGGGAUUAGGAUUUUGACCUCUGGUCAACCCUAAUCAGUUGCAUUCUACCAGUCAGGGUUUCUCAAGGAGAUGGGGUUUAUUUCUUGGAUGGAGAUCAUAUGAUUAUUAUGUGGAGCUUACAAGAGCUAGGGGUUCAUUUUGGAGCCAAUUCCUCAAGUGGUUGAGGCUCAGGCUGAUCAGGGCACUUCUAGGUCAUCUGUCAACCAGAAAGUCAACAGAAAGUCAACUGAGGGCUAGGAGGUGGAGAAAUGAGUUUCAACAUCUCAUUCAUGUUCAAAAGAGGCUUAUUAUCUUCUAGGUCAUCUGUCAACCAGAAAGUCAACAGAAAGUCAACUGAGGGCUAGGAGGUGGAGAAAUGAGUUUCAACAUCUCAUUCAUGUUCAAAAGAGGCUUAUUAAUCAUGUCAAAUGUAUAUCUUAAAGAAUUUGAGGUCAGAUCAAAAGUUUACAAAAAUGGAAAGUGACCUGUAAUUGGAAGUUUCCAAAAAUGGAAAGUUUUUGGUUCAAAUUCAACUUGAUCAUACAUCAUCAAAGAAGCUUCAAUUGAAUUUUUGUCCAACAUGAAAGUUGAAGAUCCCUCUCUCCCAUUUCCAAAAAGUCAAAGAUCAUGAAUUUAUGAUGAAUGGUUGAGGAGAUAUGAUCCAAUUAUUGCCAAGUGUGCUUGAAACUUCAAAAGGGCAUAACUUUUGACUCAUAACUCCAAAUUGAGUGGUUCUUUUUGCAAAAUUCUUCUCAUGACAUGAACUUUCCAAAUCAUUCAUCACAUUGCAUGAAAAUUCACCACAUGAUCAUUUGCAUAUUCAUGCUUAUUUUGGAGGGAAAAUGCUAAAUUUGAAAUUGGUGCAUCAUGGGAACAAAUCACCAUUGCCAUUGUGUUCAUUGGAAGAUUUUAAGUGAGUUUGAUCAUUUCAUCAUGGGAACAAAUCACCAUUGCCAUUGUGUUCAUUGGAAGAUUUUAAGUGAGUUUGAUCAUUCAUUUGGUACUGUUCACGUCCAUUUACUCCAUGCACCAUGCAAUUUUCAUUUUUUGGCCAAACACCUUAUUUUUACUAAUUCCAAAUUAACUUUGAUUAAUUUUAAUUAGUAUGUGAUUAGGACUUCAUAUAUAUUGAUAAUCAUAACAGAAUUUCACUUCAGCUUCAUCAAUUGUAGAUCUAGAUCUCAAAAUUCUCUCUCCCUCUAAAAUUUUCUCCUAGUCACAAUUCAAAUUUCUUGAACAUAGCACCUUGUUUUUAUUAAAGAUUCAUGAUCAGUGAGUUGGAUAGAGUGUGAAUCCAGUGUUUGUUUGAAGAUUUGGAGCCAUAAUCAAGCAGUUGAAGCUCAAGAACAUUGCCAUGGAAGUUGAUUGUUGAGCUAGAUCUACACGGUUUCAAGCUUCAAUUCCUUCACCAAACUUCAUUACAAGUAUUCUGGAGUAGAUCUGUAGCUUGCCAAGCCUUGGAUCGUGCGCUUUCAAGAACUGCUCUUCAAGAGGUUUAGUUUUCGAAUCUCUUAAUUCCUCAAUUCAUUAACAUGUUUAUGUAGAUCUUUCCAUGCCGAGUUUGCUGAUGCUUGUAGAAUUGAAAAUGAUGAACUAUUGAGAGAGAGAGAUGCUUGAUUGAAGUUUUGAAUGCUAAACUUUUUUUGCUUCGAUUUGUAUGAUUGGUGAUGAAUUAACAUGAAUUAAUGCUUGAUCUAUAACCUACAUGUCAUGAGGAUUCGAAUAGUGUAUUAAUUUUGAAAUUCUGCAAAAAUUUUCUGGGCAUGUACUGUUCCUCCACCGUCUUCAUGAAGAAGACAGUGGUUUCCGCCCAUAGCGUCCAUAUAGCGUCCGCCUAGCGUCCGAGCGCACCACCGUCUGGUUUUGCUUACGUGCCUAGGGCUUUUGUCCCAUUCACAUGCCACGCGAGCGCUUCGUUGGCCUUUCCGUUGGCCAACAUCCUUUUGACUUGCACGCGUAAGCCUUUGACCGCCACAUGCCAUGCCACCUCAGAAAUGAUGAUGUGCGUUUUGAGCGCACACACUCACUUCGAUUCCUGGCGCCACCGCUUUUUCAAAUUAACCUUCAUUAUGCCAUUUCCCUCCAUAUUUCAUGUAUAUGCUUCAUUUUGAUUUCAAAUUUUUUGUCAACUUUGAAAAUCCAUAUUAAAUUGAAAAUUGCUCCAAAUAAUCCUUGGUUUUUUGCUACUUGUUCAUUGAGAUGUCCUCUAUUUUAUGAUGUUAAAUUCUGAAGUUGUGCAUGGCUGGAAUUUUGUUUGCUCUAGGUUGAUUGAACAUAUGUGUUUUUGUGACAUUGCCUUACUCUUUCCAUUGUGAAAUGCUUGAUAUUGAUCCAAAUGCAAUGAAAUUUUGCAUGAUGAUUCUUAACAUGUUGAUGGAUGUUUGAGGCUUGAUUGUGCAUUUUUCUCAUUUACCAUUUCUGUUUUAUACAUAUGUUUGCAUGGUGUGAUAAUUUGUGUCACACAAUUGGAUGAUCAACUUGUGCAAUUUCAUUUCCAUAUCAAAUGACCUCUGUUGAUUUUGAUUUUUUGUAUGAUGAUUGUAUUGGAUUUGUUGAAUGCUCAUGAAAUUUUCCAGAAUUGUUUGAAUCAUUUCUGUUUUGAUUUGGAAUUUUCAUUCUCCAUGUCCAUUUGAAUGCCUUGAAAUUGUCUUUGAUUUCUCUUGCUCAUUACAUGCCUUUGCUUGAUGAUUUUGAUUUGGUCCUUUUUAGGACAUGUUAAUAUGUGUUUGAAGUUAAAUUGUGUUAAAUUUUAGCUUCUGUUUUGAAUUUUUUCUUCACCUUUGACCCUAGGCUUUGACCUAGUGGUUUGGACUUACAUGUGAGCUUUGAAUUUCAGGACCAAUCACCUAAUCUCCAUGGUUGAUGUUGCUUCAUCAUUUGAAUGUUGAUAUUUUCUAUUGAUUGCUAACAUUUGGUUGUUUUGUAGGUUGAUGAUAAUUCACUUGAGUUUGCCUUAGGGCUUAUAUGUUGUACAUUGGGAUUGUUUGAUUGUUUUUGACUGUUGUCUGUUUGUCUGAAUACUGUACUAAUUUGUUUAGCUGUUUACACAGGUACCCAAGUUGCUUUAAGUUCAUUUGAACUUUGCUUUGCUUGUGGUGGGCAUACCACUUAGGUAUAAUCCUUGAUCUCCAUGUAGUCUGGAAGACCUGCUGUUAUUGGCAGGCACCUGUCUGAAGCCCUCCUUAAGAGGCAAUGUUUGUGGUUGUUUAUCUUUGUGCCUUGUACAUAUAAAGACCUCCUAACUGAAGAGGCAUUGGCAGAUAAAAGGGAUGUGCAAUCCAUCCCCUGCUAUUCAGUUGUGUCUUUCAUCUUGCUCACACCAUGUGUUGAUGCACUUUGAAUAAAAACCCGAAAUCUUGUUGUGUCAGUCAUGUGGAAUAGAGUCCCACAUUCUGGACUCCCACACCUCCAUUGAUUCAAAGCUCUCCCAGGCCAGGGAUAAGAGCUAUGAGGUUUGAUCCUCAUUUCCCAUGUCAUCUGCUUCACCCUAACUCUCAAUGUUAGGGUUAAGAGCAAACAACACCCCUUUCCAGUUGGCUUGUAUGUCGAGGUUGAUUUGACCCCUUGACUAAAGCCCAACCAUGUUGUGUGAGCCUUCUUGUUUGCAUAUAGUGUGUGAUACCUGUUCACUCGUUUGCUUACUUGCUGUGUUGUUGACUUGCUGCCUGUGCGAGUUAGGAUCUGUUAGAAACCUCAACCUAGGACUAUUGUGGAUUACAUGACAACUAUUAGGCUCGAGUCAGUCUCCCUUUUAGUUUGUUAUUUCCCGGUCUCUGGUUAGGAGAAAGUUUCUCCCCUGUUAAGGGGAACUACGUCGCCCUGAUCCUUAUACCAGAUGAGGUACGUAGGCAGGAGAUCGUGCGAGAUCUCUCCGGGCACCCUUUUUCUUUUUUGGUGUGUGUUUGUUUGUUUGGAGUCUGAUGUAAGCCCAACGAUUGGCAUUCAGUUUCCUUGUUUGUUUGUUGUGUGCUUGGAGUCUGACGUAAGUCCAGCGAUUGGCAGUCGGUUUCCUGUGAGUUGUGUGUGUGGAGUCUGAUGUAAGCCCAGCGAUUGGCAUUCGGUUUCCUUGUUUGUUUGUUGUGUGCUUGGAGUCUGACGUAAGUCCAGCGAUUGGCAGUCGGUUUCCUGUGAGUUGUGUGUGUGGAGUCUGAUGUAAGUCCAGCGAUUGGCAUUCGGUUUCCUUGUUUGUGUUUGUUGUUUGGAGUCGGACAUAAGGCCAGCCAUUGGCAGUCUGUUUCCAGUUGUGUGUUUGCACUGACGUCUCAGCAUCUUUGUGUGUGUUUUGUUUCGGCGUGCGUUAGCCGAACUACUGUAGCUCUGAUUCUCAUUCCAGAUGAGAUACAUAGGCAUAGGAUGCGAUAUCCUAGCAAGCCCUUUUCCCGUUUCCCCGAACUACGUCGACUCUGAUGUUUGUUUCUGACAAACUACGUAGGCCCAGGAUGCGAUAUCCUGCCGAGUCCGCUUCCUCCGUCUUCCACCUGUUUGUUCCAGCGUGUGUGCAUUCUUUGAGCAGUUUGAGCAACCUUAUUCUAUUCUUUUGAGCGUGGAUCCCGUCGAGUACGACGGACGUGAGGGGUGCUAAUACCCCCCCUUGCGUAACCGACUCCCGAUCCUUGUAACCUCCGGUCGUAAGACCAUUUCCUUUCCAGGUUUACUUCGAGCGUUUCCUUUCCCUCUUUUGGGAUAAAUAAUGCACGGUGGCGGCUCUGUUUGUUCGUUUUUCCCGCCGGUUGUUUUUCGCAGAUGCGACAGCUGGCGACUCUGCUAGGGAUAUAGAAGUUGACCUUUUGCUGGUCCAUCUUCCCUAAGCAAGUCAUUCCUAGCGCUCUCUAGGAUAGUUUAGGUUGUUUAUGCUGCUCUAUUUAUUGCAUUUAUGAUUAUUAUACUGUGAUUGUAUAUAUUUGCAUAAGUGUUUGCAUGCAUCAUACUAUCAUCGUGCUGACUCUGUACCGGUUGAUUCCUCUGAUUUGGGGGUGGGUGUUCUGAGUGGGGCCCAAUACCCAGGCCCGAGUAUACACCUAGGAUUAGCGUGGUCUUAUGUCUCUUCACAUGUUGUACGACAUGAUGCGGAAAUGUGACAUACCACAGCCGAACGAGGUUCAUCUGAGAGAGUCCUUCCGGGUGGAGUUAUUCCACUUAGGUUGGGUUAUCUCAUCUGAGCUAUUGACUUCGGUGACCGUUCUUUCCCGGAUCUUUGGUUUAGACGAUCUUAUGAGAGCUUGAGCUAUUGACUUCGGUGACCGUUCUUUCCCGGAUCUUUGGUUUAGACGAUCUUAUGAGAGCUGCAACGGCACACCCGAAAGGGCAAACCCGUUGAGUAUCUUGCCCGAUUGUCGAGACCAUUAUCCGCCUUAGGAUGAUCUGAUUAGAAUUCACCUGUGAGGGGAGGGUUUGAUUCCUACAGAUGCAUGUUCUGAUGGUGACUUUGAUGGUGACUGAUGGUUCAGUUCUUGAUCGAGGUCCUAUUUAUAAGUCGGAUUUAUGGAUUUAUUUCUGAGACGCCGGAGUUCUGUCCGUGGUAUUUAUCAGUGGGGAUCCGUUUAUUUCAGGAUUCCCUGGGUUGGAACAGAUGAUUAUAUUAUUAUCAGACCAGUGGUUUCCCAGUGAUGAUGGUGGUAUAUCCUUUAGUUCCGUUUAUUUCGGAACUCCCAGGUUGGAUUUAUGGUCAUUUAUUCCCUCAGAUGGUUGAGAUCAGUUCAGAGAUCAAGGCUUCAGUGCAGUGGAUGUUCAGAUGACUCGGAGGAUGGAACAGUACCUUGCAUUCAUGCAUUAGCAUCAUUCCCAUUUUGCAUUCAUCUGCAUCUAACUCAUGUUUAGCCAUAUGCAGGGUACAUUCUCGAUUGAGAAUCUGGUUGAGAGACAUCCUGAUGUCAGAAUGUGGCUGCCAAUUAUUAUCUAUCUCGAUGAAACCAGGAUCGAAAGACAUAUUGUUCCUCAUGUGGAUAGACAUUGCAUUCAUGCAUGAAUCAUAAUAACUUGUCUUCUAUUUUGCAGGUGUCGGUUUCUAACGUGCUUGAUUGUUUCAGGAAUCAUUGCUCGCGCACGUAGAAUCAUUUGAAUCAUAAUAACUUGUCUUCUAUUUUGCAGGUGUCGGUUUCUAACGUGCUUGAUUGUUUCAGGAAUCAUUGCUCGCGCACGUAGAAUCAUUCCUUUGCACACAGCACGUCCGCACAGAUAUCCUACCAGACGCAACACAUCCAGGCUGAUGGAUCUACCCAACGCAGAUAUUCUCGAGCUGAAGGAGAAAAUGAGCGAACUGAUCAAUGUCAUGCAAGGGUUUGCCGUGGGGUAAAAAGCACUCGCUGAUAAAGUAGAGAAGCUCGAGUGGGCUUCAGCUGUCAACAGUGGUGUCAAUGUAGAGGGUGUCUCCAACCAUGGCCUUGGUGAUUCCAGGGAUGGAGGAGAUCUCAGAAAGAAGGCAACUGCUGGUGUAGUGAUUAACAACGGUGGGGGUUUUGGUGCUGCCACAGGCGGUGGACCCGGUCCGAUGGGUAACAAUUUGAAGGAUAGCCUGUUUCCUCCUUUCUUCGGGGCUGAGGAGGAUAGAGAAGAGGACCAGUUCUCGGUGCUUAAUGAACAGUUUGGGCAGUAUGGUGUCCAACCACCAAAUAAGGAAAUUCAGGUGCUGGUAGAGAAAAUCAGGGCUCUUGAAAGCUAUGCUACUCUGGGGGUUGUCAAUAUGUCGAACAUGGGGCUGGUUGAGGGGAUUGUGAUCCCACAAAAGUUUAAAGUGCUUGCGUUUGACAAAUACAAUGGGAGUUCUUGCCCGGAAACUCAUCUCCAGGCCUUCGUCCGAAAGAUUUCUGCUUAUACAAUGGACCAGAAGCUUUGGAUGUACUUCUUCCAGGACAGUUUGUCUGGAGGAUCCCUGGAAUGGUACACCAAGUUGAAGUCUUCUGACGUCAAGAGCUGGAAGGAUCUUGGUGAUGCAUUCUUUAAACAAUACCAGUUUAAUGCUGACAUGGCUCCUAGUCGUACCCAACUACAGGGUAUGUCUCAGAAGCCUAAUGAGGGGUUUAAAGAAUAUGCACAGAGGUGGAGGGAGUUGGCUGCCCGAGUCCAAGCUCCGUUGGUAGACCAAGAAAUGUCUGAUCUGUUCAUGGGUACCCUUCAGGGGACAUUUGCAGAAAGGAUGGUGGGAUGCCCGGUUACCAACUUCGCUGAUAUAAUGGUGGCCAGUGAAAGAAUUGAGAGUUGGUUGAAACUGGGGAAGAUCCAGGGUAGUGUUUCGUCGUCUGGAUCGAAGAAGCCCUUCAGUAAUGGCCAGAGAAAGAAGGAGGGUGACACUAGCGCUGUGUAUGCCCAGAGGGGACAUAGUAGUGAUCGUUACUACCAGCACACUGCUGCGGUAACCAUUCCUGCUGAUAAUCAACAACAAACACAACAACAACCGCAACAACAACGACAUCCAUUUCAACAGAGACCGCAGAGGGCCGGGUAUCAGGUGCGAGGGCGAAUGACUGAUCGUCAAUUUGAUAGGCCACCUGUGACCUACUCGUUCUUGUUGAAAAAGUUGAAAGACUUGGGGUUGGUCCAGCUGAGAACUUUGGCUCCUGUGAGACCCGAUCAGAGGCCUCUCAGCUAUGACGAGAACUCCAAGUGCGAAUUCCACUCUGGUACCCCUGGACACAACGUGGAAAAUUGUAAAGCUUUUAAGCAUGUGGUCCAGGACUUGGUGGAUUCUAAGGCGAUCAACUUUGCUCCAUCUCCAAAUGUGAAUGCUAAUCCCAUGCCCGCGCAUGGUCAAAUGGGGGUGAAUGCAAUUUCUGAGGGUGGAAGAACGAUUGGCUGAUGAAUGUGGACCAGUUGAAGACUCCUUUGGCUGAGGUCAAGAGGCUACUGUUGAACAAUGGGGUCUUCCCGGGUUGCGAUGACUGUUGUGCUGCGUGCACCGUUGUUCCUAAUGGGUGUGUAUUGCUGAGGGAGGCUGUCCAAAGGAUGAUGGAUGAGGGAAGCCUCAGAUUCGAGAAGGUGGAUUUGGGGAAAGAAGACGUCUCCACCAUAACCAUUUACUUCGACCCGGUUGAUUUGUCAACGUUGGCAGAUGCGGCUCCAGUUACUAUCACGGUACCUGGGCCAAUUCCUUAUGACAAUGAUGACGCCGUGCCAUGGCAUUAUGGUGGAGAAGUAUACUGUAAUGGGGAGAAAUUGGAAGAUCGGGCUGCAGGUGAAACCACCGUUUCAAAGGUGGAUAAUGUCGGACCCAGUGGUUUCACUCGCAGUGGAAGGUUGUUUGCACCUGACGCUUUGAGGAGCGGGGAUGGAGAAAAAGAAAAGAAAGAUAAGGCCGAGGCUUUAGCCAGGGCAAGAGGGAAUCAGGUGGUAAAUGAGGAUACUCCUGUGGUGACACCAGCGCCUGGUGGGUCGGAGAGAGAACUUGAUGAUGAAGCUGAAGAAUUUCUAAGGAUCAUCAAGAAGUCAGAGUAUAAGCUUGUUUACCACUUGCAGUAGACCCCAUCCAAGAUCUCAAUUUUGUCAUUGUUGCUGAGCUCCGAGGGGCAUAUAGAGGCUUUAUUGAAAAUCCUGAAGAGAGCCUAUGUUCCCCAGGAGAUCACAAUCAAUCAGUUGGAGACGGUGGUGUCAAACGUCAAUGCCAGCCAUGGGCUGGGUUUCACUGAUAUGGACCUAACUGUAGAUGGGCGAAAUCAUAAUAGGGCAUUACACAUUGCGAUGGAGUGUAAAGGAGCCGUGCUCUCGCACGUGUUGGUUGAUACCGGCUCAUCACUAAAUGUGUUUCCAAAUAAAGCCCUGGCAAAGCUGGAUUGUGAUGGGUUAGUGCUGAGGCCCACAGACCUGGUUGUGAGAGCCUUUGAUGGUUCUAAGCGGACAGUGUUUGGGGAAGUGGAGCUCCCUGUGAAGAUCGGGCCCGAGGUGUUUAAGUCCGUAUUCUAUGUCAUGGAUAUUCAGCCGACAUACAGUUGCUUGUUGGGUAGACCAUGGAUCCAUGCUGCUGGGGAAGUGACUUCGACUUUGCACCAGAAGCUGAAAUACAUCUGGGACGGGCAGGUCGUCACAGUUUGUGGGGAAGAGGACAUCUUCGUCAUCCACCUAUCAUCGUUCAAAUAUGUUGAAAUGGACGGUGAAAUUGUUGAAACACCAAGUCAAGCAUUUGAAACCGUCAAGGUGGAGAAUGCUACCUUUGCUAAAGAGGAGAAGCCGUCCAUUUCUUCGUACAAGCAGGCUGCCGAGGUGGUGAAGAAUGGAGAAGCUCCAGGUUGGGGGAAGAUGAUGGACAUCGCCGCCAAGAAAGACAGGUUUGGGGUUGGUUAUCAGCCGGGCCGAGGCUCGUCUGGACAGAAGGGACGUCGUCAACCAUUCACGUUCACCAGUGCUGGAAUGCUGGAUCCAGACCACAUCUGUAUGGUGGGUGAAGAGGUCGACAAUGACUGUGAGCUCGAUCAAUGGAUAAAAACGUGCGUACCAGGGAUGGAGAUCCAAAACUGGAAGGCUGAAAAGAUCAUCACCGUCACUCUACGUGAAGAGUAAUAUUUCCUGUUUUUCAAUUCUGUUUGCAUGAAAGCCAUACGUUUUGCCCGAAACGUAAUGGUCCAUUGUAAGGGCCACCUCAUGUGUUUCAUUUUGCAAUAUUUGCAUCAUAAAUAAAAGGAUGUUUUUCAAUUAAAAGCGGUGUUCCCUGUUUUUCAUUUAUUUUUGCAGUUUAAAAACAAAAAUAAAGAUGGCAAUGUUUCAUUUUCUUUUUUGCAAUUUGUCUCGCUCCGGUUCUAAAGCAAUGCAUGAAUCAACAUUCAUGCAGAUGCGGUCAUUCUCCGGAUCUCAUUGAUAACAAUCCUGUUACAACCUCAUAUGACUUCAACAAUCCGGUCUAUCAUGCCGAAGAAGAAAGCGAAGAAGAUUGUGAACUGCCGGAGGAAUUAGCCAGGUUGUUGAAACAAGAGGAGAAGGUGAUUCAACCGCACGAGGAGCAAGUUGAGGUUGUGAAUCUGGGUACCGACGAGGUCAGGAAGGAGGUGAAAGUCGGGGUUGCUUUGGAGGCAAAUGUUAAGAGCAGAAUGGUAGCAUUGUUGAAAGAGUAUGUUGAUAUCUUCGCCUGGUCUUAUCAAGAUAUGCCAGGGUUGGAUACUGAUAUUGUUGUGCACAAGCUACCGUUGAGAGCAGAUUGUCCUCCAGUGAAGCAGAAGUUACGCAGAACUCGACCUGAGAUGGCCAUGAAAAUCAAAGAAGAGGUGCAGAAGCAGUUGGAUGCUGGGUUCCUCGCUGUUACUAAUUAUCCGCCUUGGGUCGCCAAUAUUGUGCCGGUCCCGAAGAAGGAUGGGAAGGUGAGAAUGUGUGUGGACUACCGGGAUUUGAACCGAGCUAGCCCGAAGGAUGAUUUCCCAUUACCUCACAUCGAUGUGUUGGUAGAUAAUACAUCUCAAUUCUCGGUGUUUUCCUUCAUGGAUGGCUUCUCUGGCUAUAAUCAAAUUAAAAUCUCGCCAGAUGAUAUGGAGAAAACAACGUUCAUCACACCGUGGGGCACUUUUUGCUAUAAGGUGAUGCCAUUCGGUCUCAAGAACGCCGGUGCUACUUAUCAGAGCCGGUACCACUGAAACAAAGUACAUAUGAUUCAUCAUGAAAUCGAAUGCUAUGUUGAUGACAUGAUAGCAAAGUCCCAAACAGAAGAGGGGCAUCUGGUAGAUCUGGCCAAGCUGUUUGACCGAUUGGGACAAUUCAGACUGAGGUUGAAUCCGAAUAAGUGCACUUUCGGGGUGCGGUCCGGUAAGUUGCUGGGGUUUAUUGUGAGCGAAAGAGGAAUCGAGGUUGAUCCUGCUAAAGUAAAAGCAAUACAAGAAAUGCCUGAACCGAGAACCAAAAAAGAGGUUCUUGGUUUCUUAGGUAGAUUGAACUACAUUUCACGGUUCAUUUCUCACCUAACAGCCACGUGCGAACUUAUAUUCAAGUUAUUGAGAAAAGAUCAAACGGUCAGGUGGAAUAAUGAUUGCCAAGCGACAUUUGAAAAGAUUAAAGAGUAUUUGCAGGAGCCUCCGAUUCUGAUGCCUCCUGUGGAGGGACGACCGUUAAUUAUGUACUUGAUGGUCCUUGAGGGGUCUAUGGGGUGUGUACUGGGGCAGCAUGGCGAGUCUGGUCGAAAAGAGCAUGCCAUAUACUACCUUAGCAAAAAGUUUACCGACUGUGAAACAAGAUAUUCACUGCUCGAGAAAACUUGUUGUGCUUUGGCCUGGGCUGCUCGCCGACUAAGAUAGUAUAUGCUGGUUCAUACCACUUUGUUGAUUUCCAAGAUGGAUCCAAUCAAGUACAUCUUUGAGAAGCCAGCAUUGACCGGACGGGUUGCGAGAUGGCAAAUGAUUUUGACUGAAUAUGAUAUUCAGUAUACCUCUCAGAAAGCAAUCAAGGGGAGUGUAUUGUCUGAUUACCUCGCCAAGCAACCCAUUGAGGAUUAUCAACCAAUGAAGUUUGAAUUCCCUGAUGAGGACAUCAUGUUUCUCAAAUUGAAAGAUUGUGAGGAACCGAUCCCGGAGGAGGGGCCUGACCCUGAAUCCGAAUGGAUUUUGAUGUUUGAUGGGGCCGUUAACGUGAAUGGUUGUGGUGUUGGUGUUGUUUUGGUUACGCCGAAAGGAUCCCAUAUUCCUUUUGCUGCCCGACUAACAUUUGAGUGCACCAACAAUGUGGCUGAAUACGAAGCUUGUAUACUGGGGAUUGAAGAGGCGAUUGGUUUGAGAAUCAAGAACCUUGUUAUAUAUGGAGAUUCAGCUUUGGUUGUGAACCAAGUUAACGGAAAAUGGUAUACGCAUCAAUCUCACCUAAUUCCAUACCGGGAUUAUACGAGGAGAUUGUUGACGUUUUUCACCAAGGUGGUAUUACAUCAUGUGCCUAGAGAAGAGAAUCCUUUGGCAGAUGCUUUGGCUACUCUGGCUGCCUUGAUUAAGGUGCAGUGGUGGAAUCAGUUCCCCAGUGUUGAGGUGGGACGUCUGGAUAGACCGACUUUAGAAGAGAAUCCUUUGGCAGAUGCUUUGGCUACUCUGGCUGCCUUGAUUAAGGUGCAGUGGUGGAAUCAGUUCCCCAGUGUUGAGGUGGGACGUCUGGAUAGACCGACUUAUGUGUUUGCUGUUGAGGCAGCGCUUGAUGAUGAGAAGCCGUGGUAUUACGAUAUCAAGCGCUAUCUGGAAACCCAAGAAUAUCCUGAAGGAGCAUCCAAGAAGGACCGAAAGACUCUGAGGAGGUUGGCCAUGGUGUUCUAUCUGAAUAAGGAUGGGGUUUUGUACAAGCGGAAUUUCGAUUGGGUCUUGCUCAGAUGUGUUGAUGACAGAGAAGCAAGCCAAUUGAUGAAAGAAGUACACGAGGGGUCGUUCGGUACCCAUGCUAGUGGGAAUGCAAUGGUGAAAAAGUUGUUACGGGCUGGUUAUUACUGGAUGAAAAUGGAGGCCCAGUGUUUCAACUUCGUGCGGAAAUGUCAUAAAUGCCAGAUUUAUGCUGAUAAGGUGCACGUGCCUCCGAACCCGUUGAGCUUAAUGUCGUCUCCGUGGUCGUUUGCUAUGUGGGGCAUCAAUAUGAUCGGGAAGAUUGAGCCUACGGCUUCGAAUGGGCAUCGGUUCAUAUUAGUGGCUAUUGAUUACUUCACCAAGUGGGUGGAAGCAACCUCUUAUGCAAACGUGACGAAGCAGGUCGUUGCCAGAUUCCUGAAGAGAGACAUCAUUUGCAGAUAUGGGGUUCCCGUCACCAAGUGGGUGGAAGCAACCUCUUAUGCAAACGUGACGAAGCAGGUCGUUGCCAGAUUCCUGAAGAGAGACAUCAUUUGCAGAUAUGGGGUUCCCGAAAGAAUCAUUACUGAUAAUGGUUCUAAUCUCAACAAUAAGAUGAUGACAGAAUUGUGUCGGGAGUUCAAGAUCGAGCAUCACAAUUCUUCUCCGUAUCGUCUGAAGAUGAAUGGGGCGGUCGAGGCAGCUAAUAAGAAUAUUAAGAAGAUUGUGCAGAAAAUGGUCGUGACUGUAGCGGUGUAUUCGUCACUUUAUGAUUUAUUGAUUAAAUCAAAAGCAAAGCAUACAAAGAUAUAGAGUCGCCACCGCACUUUUAUUUAUCCAAAGGAAUGGCUAAAAAGCGAACAAAAGCUUAAGAAGUUUUACACAUAGAAAACUAAUGAAAAGGUCAGAGAUAUGGGUAAGGGGGUAAUUAUGCAAAGGGAAGGUGUUAGGCACCCAAAACGUCCUAGGUACUCCUAGGGAACCUCUUUUCACAACUUGUUGUACGAAAUGUUAUUUGUUUAUGAAAUAUUUAUUGUGCAAACAUGAUUGAAGGGAUGAGAGAAAGAAUAUACAAAUUUUUAUUAUUUUUGUGUUUGAACGGAUGAACCCGUUGCCUACGUACCUUUCCAUGGAAGGUAAGGAUCAAAGCGCCGUAGUUCGGCUAAAAGAUUUCCAAAAGUAAGUGAAUUGAUUUUAAGACAAAAGCCCUAAGGUCUUUCGUUAUCCACGGGAGAAAACCCAACCUAUACCAACAACAAGUCCACCAUGUGAGAAAAGCUUCAACUUGCUAGUGAGGGGUUAACCCUAUAAUAAGCAAGGAAGUCUUACAAUUCAAUCACUAAGGAAAAAAGGUGAGAUUAACAUCAACCAACUAGGAUCCAUGUGAGAAAAGCUUCAACUUGCUAGUGAGGGGUUAACCCUAUAAUAAGCAAGGAAGUCUUACAAUUCAAUCACUAAGGAAAAAAGGUGAGAUUAACAUCAACCAACUAGGAUAAAUCAAACCUACGGCUAAUGUAUGAAAACUUAUCAAGAAAGUGGACUUGAGCCACAAAACAAUUGAAUGAGUGAAGUUAACCAAUUAUGAGUAUUUACAAAAUAUGGUCAAAGUAUGAUUAGAAUUCAAUUCAAAAGAAGUAUUGUGAAAAUGAAGUUUGAAAAUCAAAGGCUUAAGGCCUAGGUUUCUAGUUUGAAAACAAAUGAAGAUGUUUGCACAAUAUUUUUCAGAUUUUGAGUCAACAUACAAAUGGAGGUUUAAAGAAACAAAAAGGGUGAAGGUUAAGGGAUGCAAAACUUCUUAGAUGUUCACCUCUUGAGAUCAUAUGCAGAUGAUCCAAGUGAUUCCUUUGGAAAAAGCAACAAGUGAUAACUAAUAAACAAAGUAUCAGGCAAAGCCAACAAGGAUGGAUACCGGAUGCCAAUCAAUGGACUUACACCAAUCUCACAAAACAAAGAGAACAAAAGAUGGAUACCGGAUGCCAAUCAAUGGACUUACACCAAUCUCCAAGGAAUGAUCAUAGGAAAACAACUGCCAAUAAAUGGACUUACAAUUGACUCCUCACAUACAGCAAGCAAAACAAAUGCAAUAAGCAAGAGGAAACAAGUUGCCAAUAAAUGGUCUUACACUCGACUCCAAGGAAAUGGGAUGCCAAUCAAUGGUCUUAGUCCCAACUCCUACCAAAUCAUAGGAAAUAAUGGCCAAUAAAUGGACUUACAACUGACUCCUCAAUGGACAAACAAAGUGUCACAAAGAAUGAACAAUGAUCAUGAAAUGAUGUACAAUUAAUGCUCAAAGAUGAAAACAAUGCGCUGAGGCACACACAAACAAUUAUGCACAUAUGGGCAAACAAGCCAACAAUCAAUCAAUUAGCACACACUAUACACAAUCAAUUAGGCUCAAGCAAGGUUAGGCUUUACAGCCAAUUGGAAUGGGGUAUUUUGAGCUCUUAACCCUAACAUUGAGAGUUAGGGUGAAGCAGAUGAAAUGGGUGCCUCAUAGCUCUUAUCCCUGGCCUGGAGAGCUUUAAACAAUAGAAAGUGUGGAGUUCAGAAAGUAGGAACUCUUCUCCACAAAUGAUUGACUCUAUAAGAUCUUGGGUUAUUAUUCACAAUGCAUCAACACAUGGUGUGAGCAAGGUGAAUGACACACUGAAUAGCAGGAGAUGGAUUACACAUCUCUUUUAUCUGCCAAUUGCCUCAUAAGAGGACUUUACCUGCUUGGCACAAAAAUAAACACACAAAGACAUGGCCUCUUAAGGAGGGCUUCAGACAGGUGCCUACCAAUAACAGUAGGUCUUCCAGACUACAUGAAGAAGAGGGAUUAUACCUAAGUGGUUAAGCAACCAAGAAAAGCAAAGUUCAAAUGAACUUAAAGCAACUUAUGUACCUGAAAACAACUAAACCAAUCAGUUCAACUGUACAGACAAACAGACAACAAUUAAUAUCAAACAGUCAAUCCCAAUGUGCAAGGCAUAAACCAUAAGGCAAACUCAAGUGAGUUGUCCUCAACCUACAAAACAUCAAGUGUUAACAAUCAAAAGCAAAUUUCAAUGUUCAAGUAGUGAAGCAUCAUUAACCAUGGCAUUUGGAUGCUCAAACCUGAAAUCAAAGCUCACAUGUAAGCAACAAACCACUAGGUCAAAGCCUAGGGUCAAAGGUGAAGAAAAAAUUUAAAACAGGAGCUGAAAUUUAACACAAAGCAACUUCAAUCUCAUAUUAACAAGUCCUAAAAAGGCACACAUCAAAAUCAAUCAUCAAAUUCAUUUCAUGAUCAAGUGAAGUUCAAGACUAUUUCAAAGUUCAUAUGUGAUCAUCAUGAAUAAAAAAUUCAAAUCAAAACAGAAAUGAUCCAAAUAAAUCUGGAAAAAAUCAUGCAUAUUCAAGACAUCUAACAUGAUCAACAUACAAAAAAUCAGAAGAAUUGGAUAUCAUUUGGCAUAGAAAUCACAUGGCACAAGUUGGACAUCAAAAGGUGUGACACAAAUUGUCACACCAUAUUAGCACAAGCAUAAAACAACAAUGGAUGAUGAGAAAAAUAUCAAAUCAAAGCCAAAAUGUCAAUCAACAUGUUAAGAAACUACACACAAAAUUUCAAAGCCAUUGGAUUAUUUUUGAGCAUUUUAUGAUGGAAAGAUCAAAGCAAUAUCACACAUGCAUAUGUAUUCAAACAUCCUAGAACAAAUAUUUUUUCAGCCAAGCAUAACUUUCCAAUUUACACUCAUAAAAAACUAGACAAAAUGAGGAGCAAUAUGCAAAAAAUUGGAGAUCAAAUGAUGCAUUUUUCAAUUUAUAAUGAUUUUUUGAAGUUGAGAAAAUAUUUGAAAAUCAAAAUGGACAUGUCAUGGCAAAUAAGGAAGGUAUGAGAAAAUAUUUGAAAAGAAAUGCUGUGCGCCAGAAUCGAACACGGUCCAGAUUCAAAUGGAGCGCGCCAAGCCGAAACGGCACCGUUUUGCAAAAACCCUAGCCAGCACCUAUGCGUCGACGCAAGACCAACGAGAGGUCGACGCAAGACCACAGUCAGAACCUCGGGUCGGCGCAGAACCAACAAUAGGUCGACGCAAGACCACAGACUGAACCAAGAGUCGACGCUAGCCACUGCUACGGUCGACACACACAUGAGGAUCUUCAUCUUCUUCCUCUUGAAGAAGAUGAACAGUAGCACGAGCUUCAAUACGUUUCCAGAAAAUAAUUCCAGAAAUCAAAACUAAAUACAUCAACAUGUAGGACCUUCAAUGGAGAUCAUGAAUCAAUGCAUAGCUAAGCCUAAUUUCACUUAUCAAGAUCAAAUCAAACGAAGUAAGAUUCAUGCAUGAAACUUUAAUCUAUUAUAACUCAGUCAAUAGGUCACCAAAUCGCACGAUUCAAAGCUCAGAUUCAUCAGGACACAAAGAUCUACAACAACAUAGCAAUGGAUUUUAAAAUUAAGAGAUUCGAAUUGUGACCUCUUGAAGUGUACUCAGUCAAUAGGUCACCAAAUCGCACGAUUCAAAGCUCAGAUUCAUCAGGACACAAAGAUCUACAACAACAUAGCAAUGGAUUUUAAAAUUAAGAGAUUCGAAUUGUGACCUCUUGAAGUGCAGAAGCUGGAAUCGUGCUCCAUAAAGCUCAGCAAUGCCUCAAAGUUCCUCCAUAAUGCUUAUUGAAGUGAUUGAUGAUGAAUUUGAAGCUCAACUGCACAUGAAUCCAGCAGAUUUUGAAAUCACCAUGGAUGCUUCAAGCUUCGAGUAUGUUCAAAUAUGGCGCGAUUCCUUCCAAUUCCACGUUCAAAUCUUCUCAAAAAUGCUUCAGGAUCAUGAAUCAAUCAAUAGAAAUACCUCUUGUGUGAAGAAUUGCAAGAAAAAUUUGAGAGAAAAAUUUGGAGAAUUUUGAGAUUCAGAUCUGAAAAAUAGUUGUUAAUGGCAAAUGCAGUUAUGCUUAACCUUAUAUAUGCUAUGCUAAUCAUGUUUAGAACCUGUUUAAGCCAAAGCCAAUUGAAAUUAAUCAAGUUUUAAGGUGUAUGCACAAAUUGGAUUUUCACCCUCAUGCAUGAGGUAGCCACGUGAACAGUACACGAAUCUGGCCCAAAAUCACUUAAUUAAUGCCCAUGCAAGCUUUUGAAUUGGUUUUGUAUGCUCAUGAUCAACCAAAAUGAUUUUAUGGAAUUUUCUUCAAAAAUCUUCAUGAAUAAGCCAAAGACCAUGCAAAUGGAAUUCAUGUCAUGUAAUGGUACAUUUGGAAAGUGCAUGUUAUGAUGAACAAAAUGCAAAAAGAACCACUCAUUUUGGAGCUUUGGUUGAAAAGUUAUGCUCAUUUGAAGUCCCAUGCACACUUUGCAAUGGUUGGAUCAUAUCUCCUUAACCACACAUGAGAAAUUCAUGAUCUUGGACAUUUUGGAAAUGGGAGAGAAAGAUCUACAACUUUCAUGUUCAACAAAAUUUUAUUUGAAGCUUUUUUGAUGAUGUAAUCUUGAGUUGAAGUUGGUCCAAAACCCUUCCAUUUUUGGAAAGUUCCAAUUAUGGGUCACUUUCUAUUUUGGGAAAUUUUUGACUGGACCUCAAAUUCUUUAAGAUGAGUAUUUGAAAUGUCAAAUGAGGCUUGUUUGAACAUGAAUGAAGUAUUUCUAAUCACUUCCCACCUCCAAAUCUAUAGUUGACUUUGUAGUUGACUUUCUAGGUCUUCAGAUGAUCUGGAAAUGUUCUGAUGAAAUUCAAGCCUCUACCACUUGGGAUUUUGCUUCAAAAUGACCUCAUAGCUCAUAUGAACUCUUGAUAAUGAUUGUGGGGUCCAAAUCUCAAGAAUGACCACCAUCUAUUGCUCAGUGAAUGUCUUUCAUGGCUUUGACCUGUUAUUGCUUCAUCUGCAAGACAAAGGUUAUAUGCCAUAUUUUUGUACAUUUUGGUUAGUGAUUAAAGAAAAGCAAUGAUAUACAAAUGCAAACAUGCUUGGUGAUCAAGAAUCACUCUCAAAAAGAUAACCCACCCACAGGGGAGGAAGCAAGGUGUCCAAUGAUCCUUGAGGCAAUGCAAUGAUAUGAUAUGAUGCCAUGAGGGAUCUUAGGGACAAAAUUGGGGUCUUACAGUGACCUAUAAAGAUUGGCACGAGAUGUUGCCGUUUGCAUUGCAUGGGUAUCGAACCUCGGUGCGUACUUCUACUAGGGCAACGCCAUUCUCGCUUGUGUAUGGAAUGGAAGCCGUGCUACUGGUUGAGGUUCAGAUUCCUUCGUUGAGAGUCCUGAUGGACGUGAACUUGCAAGAGGCUGAAUGGGUAAGGACUCGGUAUGAAGAAUUGAGCCUGAUUAAGGAAAAGAGGCUGGCAGCCAUCUGUCAUGGGCAGUUAUACCAGCAGCGAAUGAAGCGUGCUUUUGACCGAAAGGUGCGACCUCGUGUAUAUCACGUAGGAGAUAUGGUGCUAAAAAGGAUCCUUCCUCCUCAGAACGAUCGUAGGGGCAAGUGGACACCCAAUUAUGAAGGUCCAUUCGUGGUCAAGAAGGUUUUCUCUGGCGGAGCCUUGUUGUUAACGACCAAGGAUGGCGAGGAUUUACCAUCCCCUGUGAAUGCGGACGCAGUUAAAAAAUACUUCGUAUAAGAGACCCGUUGGACGAAAAGAAUAAAAUAGUCCAGGCAAAAAUGGGCAUCCCGGCGAACCAAAAAAAAGGGAAUAAAAAGGUUCGGGUAAAAAUUAGGGAUAAAAGGAAAAAACUGUACACCCGGCAAGUUGAAAACCCCACAAGGGAGGCUUGGGCAAAAAAAGGGUAUCACGGUGGACUGAAAACCCGAAAGGGCGGUCCAGGCAAAAGAGGGAUUGAAACGAACAACUGCGUCUAGCAUGAUCGUUUGUACUUUGGUUAUGACACCAGGAUAAUCCCCGGCAGGGAUCAGUCGGAAUCGUCUUGUUCAGAAGGCAGGAAGCACGGAGAGUCUUGAGGACAUAUAGGGUGUAACCGAGUUGGAACUCGAUGAGAUCACGGUUUCACAUUGCCAUUAGGAUAGAUUUUUCCUUUUGUGCGCAAUUACCUCUUUUUAGGAAUUGCUUCCUUUGUAUCGCUCAUUUUCGAGCCACCUCUUUUCAAUCAAUAAAAAGCAUAUUCAGUCAGACAAUUUUGUUUUUUAUUUUCAUUAUCGCUUGAUUGCAAAAACAUCCGUUUAUUUUGAUAGGAAUCUUUGCAUUUUGAGACGUAGGGGUCCCUUCCAAUGCAUGUUCAUAAGAUUGAAAAUUUGAAAUCUUAUUCGGAAGGUGGAGUGACCCAGGUGUUGGAAUCUUGGCACGCCUGGGGCACGUUUUAUCUAACGAUUUCUUUUGCAGGUGCUGUUAGAUAUUUUCACUCACUUGCAGGUUGUGAUGUGAAGCCUGUUGACAAAAGAUCCCCGUGGAGUCCAAUCAGGGACAAGAGAUAGAAGAAUGGUGAAAAGACAGCGAGAGACGUGCGAUGAUCCUGGAUAUUAAUCAAGAAGACUCUUCAAAGUCUGAGGACUGGAAAGUUUGUAUGAAUCCAGGGAGUUCGAUCUCCGUGGAGUACGGAGAAGUCGAGAAUACAAGGUGAUGAAUCAGAAAGUCCAGACGAGUCUGGGAACUCUCAAAAGUGGAAAGCUGACAUUGGAUUUAGAUGUUGAAUACCGGGGUUCGACGAGUCGAUGGGCGUUCUGUGCCAUAUUGUCCUUAUUUCCCCAAGCAGGGUCGGGGUUGUUACCCCCCCAGCAGAUUCAAGGUAUGUGUCUUCCCUAGCAGAGUCGGGAUUAUAAUCCCCAGCAGUUUCGAGAUUGAUUUCCUCAGCAGCCAGGCCGGAAGGUUGGUAUUUCCCCUAGCAGGGUUGGAGAUGACUAUUUUCCCAGCGGAGAUGCCCGUUGCUAGCUUUUCCCCCCAGCAAGUGGAAGAUUGUUGUUUUCCCCGUAGAGUGUGUUGGUGGUUUCUUCCCCAGCGAAGUCCCCAGGCGGAUCAGGUGGUCUUUUUCCCAGCAGCAGUGCUAUUCCCCAGUGGGGUGGGGAUUGGAGUGUUGUCGGGUUCCUCAGCAGAGUGCCUCGAGCUCCCCAGAAGAGUCCCUUGAGGGGGAUACUUUUUAUGCAUUCAUCAUAUAGAUAAGCAUAUCAUAUUGCGUAUCUCAUUGCGUAGCAUUUCCAUGAUUAUGGAGCAUUACGCUUAAAAAUCAUCAUGCAUCAGCAUUGUAAGCAUAAGCUAGUCUCAAGUCGUGGUUACUGUUUGAGGAUUGGUUUCGCCAGAGGGUGAAGAUGUUACUCUGAGGAGUUUGGCAUCGUGAUUUUGAAUCAACAGUAUUCCCCAGUAGUGCGAUAUUGGAGGAAGGAUUUCUGUCGGGCGGAGAUGGAAAUGAUAAUCAAGAAGUUUCGGGGUCCAAAAAGAAAAGCAAAAAAGAGAAAGAAAUAAUCCCCAGUUGAGCGCAAAUGGUUCGUUUGCUAGGGUUGAAUAGAGGAUAACAUGCUCAUGGCUUGUUAUCCCCAGCAUGGGUCGUUGGCACGCGUGCCGCCUCACUUAUCACUGUCCCUUAUUUCUGCUGAUGUUGACAUGUAUGACCAGUUUUUCGGGUAUUCAGACCGAUGUGGCGUUCAGGCCAGUUUUUCGGGUAUUCAAACCGAUGUGGCGUUCAGGCCAGUUUUUGGGGUAUUCAGACCGAUGUGGCGUUCAGGCCAGUUUUUUCGGUGUUCAGGCCGAGGUGGGUAUUCAGACCAGAUUUUCCGAUGUUCAGAUCGAAGCAGUUUUCCGAUAUUCAGACCGUUGUGGCACUCAGGCCAGUUUCCAAUUUUCAGAUCGAAGAGGUUUCCGACGUUCAGGUCGACACAUUUGUGGCACUCAGGCCAGUUUCCGAUUUUCAGAUCGAAGAGGUUUCCGACGUUCAGGUCGACGCACUUGUGGAACUCAGGUCAGUUUCUGAUUUUCAGAUCGAAGAAGUUUCUGACGAUCAGGUCAACGCACUUGAGGCACUCAGGCCAAUCUCCCGGUAUCCAGACCGAAGUGGUAUCCAGACCGAAGUGGUAUCCAGACUGAAGUGGCAUUCAGGCUAGUUUUUCGGGCAUUCAGGCCAAUCUCUCGGUGAUCAGACCGACAUUAAUACUCUCAUAUUCCGAUGCUCAGUAUUCAGACUGACGAGCGGCGUUCAGCCCAUGGUGGUUCCUGUGUUACCAUUUAUUUUGGUAUCCAGGUCAAUGUUCCUUUUCGGUAUUCAGGCCGACUUUCUCCGUACCAGACAGAUUCUUCUUUUGAGGUCGUGCUUUGCCGCUUCUGGCAGGCCUUGUUAAUUAUUUUCCCAACGGAGUGCAAAUUGUUCGUCUGAUCUUGGUAUUCAAUCACUCUUCACCCUGAUCAUCUGAAAGCCGAGGCUAUUCAUAUCGACAGGUUCACAAUGGAUUGAAUAGGGGCAGCUGUAACACCUCAAAAUUUACCCUCCUCUUCUUGGGACUAGCUUAGCAUAUUGCAUUUCAUUUUUAGGACAUUAGGUAUUUGCAUGUUGCAUAUCAUGUGAGAACAAGCAAGUCAUCCUCCUAAGUCUUUCUUAGAAGAUAGAGAGGUUAAGAGAUUCAUGCCUGAGGGUCUCAUGGAUUGAUCACUAGCCAUCUGAGGGUUUGUGCUUCAAUUAGAGUUUCUUGGUCCUUCAAGGAGUUUGAGCAUUAUCUUAUUGGAAAGGGUACAUCAUCAUCAUCAUGGUUAUGUCAUCCUCAAGGGGCUCAUUGUUCAUGCUCAGAUUCUUUGGGAUUAGGGUUUUGACCUCUGGUCAACCCUGUCAUCCUCAAGGGGCUCAUUGUUCAUGCUCAGAUUCUUUGGGAUUAGGGUUUUGACCUCUGGUCAACCCUAAUCAGUUGCAUUCUACCAGUCAGGGUUUCUCAAGGAGAUGGGGUUUAUUUCUUGGAUGGAGAUCAUAUGAUUAUUAUGUGGAGCUUAAAAGAGCUAGGGGUUCAUUUUGGAGGCAAUUCCUCAAGUGGUUGAGGCUCAGGCUGAUCAGGGCACUUCUAGGUCAUCUGUCAACCAGAAAGUCAACAGAAAGUCAACUGAGGGCUAGGAGGUGGAGAAAUGAGUUUCAACAUCUCAUUCAUGUUCGAAAGAGGCUUAUUAAUCAUGUCAAAUGUAUAUCUUGAAGAAUUUGAGGUUAGAUCAAAAGUUUCCAAAAAUGGAAAGUGACCUGUAAUUGGAAGUUUCCAAAAAUGGAAAGUUUUUGGUUCAAAUUCAACUUGAUCAUACAUCAUCAAAGAAGAUUCAAUUGAAUUUUUGUCCAACAUGAAAGUUGAAGAUCCCUCUCUCCCAUUUCCAAAAAGUCCAAGAUCAUGAAUUUAUGAUGAAUGAUUGAGGAGAUAUGAUCCAAUCAUUGCCAAGUGUGUUUGAAACUUCAAAAGGGCAUAACUUUUGACUCAUAACUCCAAAUUGAGUGGUUCUUUUUGCAAAAUUCUUCUCAUGACAUGAACUUUCCAAAUCAUUCAUCACAUUGCAUGAAAAUUCAUCACAUGAUCAUUUGCAUAUUCAUGCUUAUUUUGGAGGGAAAAUGCUAAAUUUGAAAUUGGUGCAUCAUGGGAACAAAUCACCAUUGCCAUUGUGUUCAUUGGAAGAUUUUAAGUGAGUUUGAUCAUUUCAUCAUGGGAACAAAUCACCAUUGCCAUUGUGUUCAUUGGAAGAUUUUAAGUGAGUUUGAUCAUUCAUUUGGUACUGUUCACGUCCAUUUACUCCAUGCACCAUGCAAUUUUCAUUUUUUGGCCAAAAACCUUAUUUUUACUAAUUCCAAAUUAACUUUGAUUAAUUUUAAUUAGUAUGUGAUUAGGACUUCAUAUAUAUUGAUAAUCAUAAUAGAAUUUCACUUCAGCUUCAUCAAUUGUAGAUCUAGAUCUCAAAAUUCUCUCUCCCUCCAAAAUUUUCUCCUAGUCACAAUUCAAAUUUCUUGAACAUGGCACCUUGUUUUUAAUGAAGAUUCAUGAUCAGUGAGUUGGAUAGAGUGUAAAUCCAGUGUUUGUUUGAAGAUUUGGAGCCAUAGUCAAGCAGUUGAAGCUCAAGAACAUUGCCAUGGAAGUUGAUUGUUGAGCUAGAUCUACACGGUUUCAAGCUUCAAUUCCUUCACCAAACUUCAUUACAAGUAUUCUGGAGCAGAUCUGCAGCUUGCCAAGCCUUGGAUCAUGCGCUUUCAAGAACUGCUCUUCAAGAGGUUCAGUUUUCGAAUCUCUUAAUUCCUCAAUUCAUUAACAUGUUCAUGUAGAUCUUUCCAUGCUGAGUUUGUUGAUGCUUGUAGAAUUGAAAAUGAUGAACUAUUGAGAGAGAUAUGCUUGAUUGAAGUUUUGAAUGCUAAACUUUUUUUGCUUCGAUUUGUAUGAUUUGUGAUGAAUUAACAUGAAUUAAUGCUUGAUCUAUAACCUACAUGUCAUGAGGAUUCGAAUAGUGUAUUAAUUUUGAAAUUCUGCAAACAUUUUCUGGACAUGCACUGUUCCUCCAUCGUCUUCAUGAAAAAGACGGUGGUUUCCGCCCAUAGCGUCCACAUAGCGUCCACCUAGCAUCCGAGCGCACCACCGUCUGGUUUUGCUUACGUGCCUAGGGCUUUUGUCCCAUUCACAUGCCACGCGAGCGCUUCGCUGGCCUUUCCGUUGGCCAGCGUCCUUUUGACUUGCACGCGUGUCGCAUUACGCGAAAAACCGGCGGGAAAACAAGAAACAACAGAGCCGCCACCGUGCGUUAUUUAUCCCAAAAGAGGGAAAGGAAACGCUCAGAGUAAACCUGGAAAAAGCAUGG